AAGGGUUAAUUAAGUUUUUAGUCCCUAUAAAUAUUCACAGUUUUGUUUUUAGUCCUUAUAAAAUAAAAUCACACUUUUUAGUUCCUGUGACAUUUUCCUUAAGCAUUUUAGGGACUAAAAAUGCUGAUGGAAAAAUUUUAUAGGGACUAAAAAUGCUUAUGAAAAAUUUUAUAAGGACUAAAAAUUUUGAUGGAAAAUUUUAUAAGGACUAAAAAGUGUGAUUUUAUUUUGUGGGGACUAAAAACAAAAUUCUGAAUAUUUAUAGGGACUAAAAACUUAAUUAACCCUUUAAACAAAACAUAAUCAAUGAACCACAUUUAAAUAAUAAACUCUAACAAUAAAAAAUAAAAAUUAUUGUACAUUUAAACUCUGUUUCAUCUUCAGUUGUAACUUUUAACUUCAAUUGUUCCAUUUUCUCAUUUAAAUACUUGAGCAAGUAAUAUGUUUGAAUGAUUUCAAAUCAAUCAAUAAUAACAAGCUUCUGAAUGCAUUCCCUAAAAUUCAAUGUAUGUCAUUGUUACGCAUUGGCGUACCUUCUGUACAUAACAAGCAUGGAAAAAAUGAGUUAUUUUAACCAAAAUAACCAAGCACCUUGACAUUGAAAAAAGAAUUAGAUUUUGAAAGAAAACGAGACAAAAAAAAUAACCAAAAUAAAAAGUAAAAAAAUUCAAAAGUAAACUCGGACGAGUUUACUCCGAGUUUACACGAGUUUAACACGUGUUAACUCGGUCAAACUCGUCAAACUUUCCGAUUUCAUCAAAAACCGAGUUUAUCUCCGAGUUAACACGUUUUUGUCAUCUAAAAACGUAAACUCGUGCGAGUUUACAAGUUAACACUCGAUUUGUGGAACAAUAACUUACAUUCUAAAAAGAAUCUUGGAAAGCAGGGAACAUGCCAGGAAACGCAACAGUCAUGUAUGCAAUCAGAUAGGCUAGUAAUCCCAAUACAAAAUUUUAUUGCACCUUUUAUUAUACUAGUAAAUAAUAUCUAGUGUUAUGAAAUUGAUCUAAAGUAUUGCAAGAUAUUGUAAAAUAUAUAAGAAUACAGAGAAAGGAAUAAAGAGAGAAUAUUAUAGCAUAUUUUAUUACUUAAUAAGUGUGUCAUUACAUUGUAAUAUAGGUUCUAUUUAUAGGACACAUAUAUAUAAAUGAAUGAUCAUAUUACAAUCCACUCACUAGUGGAAGUGGAAGUUAGAUGGACAUUCACUAAUAAAUAUAUACAUAUCUAGGUUGAACACCACUUUUUAAUGAAGAAAAUGCCAAAAUAAAAUGUGUAUCGUGUAUUUGGUAGAGGUAGAGCUAACUUCGAAACCAAAACAGAAAAUGAGUCUUUGAUGUAGUGUUUGUCUGCUAGCGAACAAAACACAUGGGAUAUAGACAAUAGACAAGAUUUCUUUUUUUUGAAAAAAAAAUGAGUUUUCAGGUAAAAGGGUCAAGUAAUAUCGAAGUAUUGUAUGAUUUCAAUAUCCAUCAAUAAGAGUGCAACAAAUAGUUUUCUUAAAGGAUAAUUAACUUGAGAUGAGUCCCCGUGAGUUUAGCUCAAUUGGCAUGGACAUUGCAUAAUUUAUACAGGGGUCAGAGUUCGAACCUCGGACAUCCCAUUUCUCCACAUUUUAAUUGUGUGAGCUCUAGCCACUGGACUACUAGACUAUAAAAAAAAAAAAAAAAAAGAUGUAAUUGUUACUUGUGUAGCAAGUAACUGUAGAACAUAACUAGCUUAAUCGUUGUAACAUAAUUAGUUAGUUUCAUUUUUUAGGUCUAGUUAGUUAGCAACAGUAAUUUAGUUAGAGUUUUUGAUUACACUAUAUAAAGCUGGUGUUUCAUUGUAAAUUUAUAAUACUUACAUUUUCUGAAUAAUGAAAUUCCUUGUUCACACUUUCUUUGUCUUCUUUAAAUCUAUGCACAUUGCAAUCUUAGUUUUUACUGUUUGAGAUUACAUCUUAACAUUCUAUACCAGUCGGAUAUGGUAUAUCAUCUCCAUAAUUUCUCUUUUUUCUUUAUAUUUCUAUCAAAUUCAUUUAUCAAUUAAUUCGUUUUUCUAUUAUUCUUAUCCUUAAUUUUCUUUUCUCUCUGAUUUUCUGUUAGAAACGUGUUUUCUAAUGGUUUUUUCUUCCUUCCACCAAUUUUCUUUUCUGGUUGUGUUAUUUCUGUUAAGGUAUCAACGCAAUGCGGAAGCACAAGAUCGAUGCUAUUGAGAAUUAAAGAGAAGUAAGUAAAAUAACAAGAGAAAUUAACACACAAGAUUUACGUUGAAAACUCCUCAAUAUGAGAAGUAAAAAACCAUGGACGGUCACGAAUAAAGUUCCACUAUGUAAAAGAAAAGAGUACAACAAGUCCUCUUAUAGUGAUGAGGACAAAGGAUAAUAUUUUCACUCAAUAUUUCCUAAAAUACUCUCUAAAAUGGAACAAGAAUUCUCACAAAAAAUACACCCAAGUGUAUGUUACAAAGUGUGUUUGUAAUUGGUUUUUUCAUGAUCAUUCACGACAUGUGAUUGCUGUAUAUAUAGCCUCCAUUCCACAAUUCUUAAUGGUGAAGCAAGUAGCAUAUGCAAGCAAGUAGGAGGUGUAAAGCAUAUGCAAGUAAGUAGGAGGUGUGAAGCAUGCAACAUAUGUGACAUGUAAAGCUUGGAGACAAACCUUAACCACUAAGGGAUAAGGAGCCGUAAAGACACAAAAGGAAACUUCACAAUUAAGGACUUGACUACAAGUAGCUUAUAGAUGAAGUAAUUGAAUGAGAGCCACAUAAUCCAACAAUUUCAUCUUUUUUGAAUCAACAUGUCCAUUGCAAGUUCUUUUGAAAGCAUUAAUGGUGGAUACGUUGUUUCUAUUGCCAAGAAUAAAGGUUACCAAACUGAUACUCUAAGUUCAUAUUUCAUGCAUCCACAAGAGAAUAUAGGUGUUAUUCUUGUAUCCCUUUGUUAUUUGGAAAUAACUACCAUUCUUGGUGAACAAAAAUCAAAAAUCGCAUCAUUAUAUCAAUUUGUAAUUGUUAAAUAAUAUGUUAAAUUUUUUUUAAGGAAAAUAAUAUGUUAAUUGGUAAUUGUUAUUUUAUAAUAAAAAAAAAAUGAAAUGUUGACUAUAUGCUUACAUACAUUUUGAAGAAAAGUUGAUUUUUUUUUCUUUUAAUUUCUUCAAAGAAGUAAAAUAUAAAAAAUGAGACAAGGGAAAGAGAAAGUUGUUGUAGAGAGAUAAAAAAUACUCAUGAGUUUUCAAAAUUUCAUAUUAUCGACUUUCUCAAAUUGUGGUAUAAAAAUUUGUUUCCGCAUAUAUAAAUACUUAAAUUCCACAGGUGGCGCGAUGUAAAUAUAUAACGGGUUUAUGCAUAUAAAAUAAACAAAUAUUUAAUAAAAAUACUACAUUAAUGUUGAUAUAUUUUAUUUAAUAUAUUUAAACAUUUCACAACAUUAUAAAUGUAUUUAUUUUUUUAUAUAAUUCAUGUAAUGUUAUGCAACAGUCUUUUAUUAGUCUUUAUGAAGUUUUGAUUCCCAUAUAAGAGUUUAGCUUUUUCAUCUCCUAUUUCAAUCUUUUUUAACUUUUGAUUCACACUCCAUAGAAAGGUCAAUUUUGAUCAUGUGUCUAAAUUAUUAAUGGUGUGACAGAAAACAUGUGGACAUAUUAAAUUAGUGACUUGUCUACAUAUGCUCUAACACAUCAUUAAUAAUUUAGAGACAUAAUUAAAGUUGACUAUAAAAUGUAGCGAUGAUCAAGAGUUAGAAAAGGAUGAAAUAGAAGAUUACAAAGAUAAAUAUUAAAAUAGAGAUACAAAAACUUUAAAAAAAAAAAAAAAAAAAAAAAAAGGGUAUCAAAAGUGUGCUAACUAACUUUAAUGCUCGUAAUGAAAAUAUAUGUUUUUUUUUAUUUCUUGUAUUAUAAAAUGUCGAUAUUGUAUCAUUUUUUAUGUGAUUUUUUCAAUAAAACAUGAGUUCCUAUGUUUGCAAGAUGAAUAGUUGAGUGUGUUUAUGAGUUUGAUGAUUUUUUAUUUUAUUUAAUUUUAUAAAAAAAUUAUAAAGAAGGAUAUUGUUGUUGACAUUUUAUACAGGGUUAUUGCAACUAAAUUAAAAUACAAAUUGUGUAAUUUUGUCAAAGAGAAAAGGUAAGAAAUAAAACCCAAGAUGUAGAGAAAGCAAACUGGAGAACGAAGGAAAAAGAAAGACAAUGGACAUGGAGGUCGUUGGAUUCUUUGACGGUGGCGGUGUGCGGCUAAACAAGGAGGAUCCACAAUUUAAGCGGUGGAGUCUCUGUUUUUUUUUUUUUAUCGAUGUGGUGUUUUAGAUGAACAACUGUUGUUCUUUUUGCUACUAUUCUUCUCUACCCUUCCUUCCCUCUCCUAUUUUUAUAUCAGUAGAUGUAGAAGUCUAGAGUUUAUAUGCCACAUUUUUAUGAAGAAAAUGCCAACUAACUGUACUGGGAACAAAAAAAUGAGUUUUUUUUUUUAUGAAGUGUUUGUUUGGUUGCGAGCAGAACACAUGUGAUAGGCAUGAUUUUCUUUGGUAAUAUAUGAGUGUGAGGGAAAGUAUAAGAAAAACGGUUCAAAAAUAGAAUUUGCAUACUCAUAAACAAGCAUCCAAUGUCAUGAGUCAUACAUGUGCCUAAUGAAAUUAAAAAGAAGGACAAAUGAGAUGAGAAUGAGUUUUCCUAAUCAAAGGGUUAUUGUGAUAGCUUCAGUCCACAAUGAAAUUGUGUCCACCAAAAUAUUUAAGUCCCCCAAAGCCAUUUCUUCUCCUCCCUUCUAAACUCCCAAUCAUUCUUCAAAAAUUUCAAACUUGACAUUAGAUAUUUACUAAAAUCAAUAAUUGGAUGCGAGUCUAAGCUUAUAGCAUUACAUUUCUUAUGAUAGCAGUAGAUAGAUAAAGAAUUAUGUUGGAGAAAUUUAAUUGUAGACAUACUAGUGUAAAAAUGUCAUUAGUUGAAGCUUCAAUAUACUCCAAUGCACAAUGUAUUUGGUUGAGUAAUGCUCAUUUGACCGAAGAAUGGUUUAUAAUUUCUUUAGUAUUUUAUUUGUUACAUGAAUGGGGACGCAAUGCAUUAGAUUCUUAGUAUUGAAAGAAACAUUAUGGUGUCUCAAUAUGCAUUAAUUUUCUAACUAAAUCCAAUUCUCAAUUGUCUUCCUAUAACUUCCCUCUUUUCACUUAAUCAAAAGAGGAAUGAUAGGAACACUCUCUUCAACAUUCAUUCUCUUAUUGCAUGAAACCAUUGUAUGACCCACCACUUUGAGUGGAAUCCAUUCCCAAAGCAUGCGACUCGUCAUGAUUUAAGCCAUUAAAAAAGUGAGUGGUAGAGAAAGUGUUGAAAAUAGAGUGUUGCUAGAACUACUCUAAUCACGAUAAAUCAUGAGCCCGCACGAAAAACAACCACUUUUGUAUCAGGAUAAUUCAACAACGAAAUACAUAGUUGACAAUGUGGAUAAGAUUCUAAGCUUUGUUUGCUUUCUCAACUUCGAAGAGCUAGAAUUUUUCAACUUUGGAAAGUAUAGUAUUAUUAAAGUCACUCAUUAUGUCCAUCUAAAAUAUCUUCGACCUGCUUUAACCGUGAAUGAGCGGUCGCACAUUGUGAAAUUUUUUGUUGACGAAUGUAGUAUUGUAAAGUUAUAUCUCUUUCAGGCUUAUCGAGGAAACCUUGCCCAUACACUCCACUAAGUAGACUAUGCAUAUCAAAGUUAAUUGUAUUUGACAAAUAUGUUUCACCAAAGAAAUCCUUCACGCAUCAACCAUAAAAAAAUGCACAACAAGAAAACAACACAGCACAAGGCAACCAAAGAUAGUUUGCAUUGCAAACCAAGCGAAUGAGCUCAUGUGGUUAAUGAGAUAAUUCAUUAAGGAUAAAUCGUUUAAGAGAACCCGAGUUCAAUUCCUAUGUGGAAUAAUUUUUGGUCAUGCCAUUCUCAAUUCUCACCUCACGUAGGAAAAAAGUUAGUUUACAUUUCUAAAAGUUAGAAGCUUCUAAAAAUGUGAGUAAAACCCACACACGAAAGUGGAUUUUAGCUUUUCACUAAAGUUAUUGUUGAGUAAUAAACAGUGCAAAAAAAAAAAUUAUUAAUCCAAAUCCAAUGUUUCUCAAAGUCAAUAAAUAACACUAAAAAGUUGAUAUGAACGUCAAGAAACAAACAUAACAAAUUAUCAUUUAGGGUGUUUUUCAAAAAAUAAUUUUAUCAUGUUGAGUCUGGGCUCCGCCAACAACAUUUUACAUCAUGUAUAGGUCCUUUUCUGUUUGACCAAAGAAGCAUGCAUAGGUUUGAAAUUUGCGAAGGAGAAAUUUUGAAACCCUACGAGUCCAGAAGUUGCAACAUUUUCCGAUCUAAAAAUGGGAAUACAAAUUACGAUUUUAUUAGAACAAUUGAGUUGGUAACUAAGCAAAGAGAAAAGUAAUGAAGUAUGAUGCACUCCGCAAACAGAAAUAUUUUGAUCUUCUAACAAAGAAGGAAGAGAUAGAAUGAAGAUUUUAUUUUGGCUGAAGUGGUGGAGUUCUUUUAUUGAUAUGGUGGUGUAUUGAGAGGAACAAGUGUUUUUAUACUAGUAGAAUUAUAGGCUAUAUGUCACAAAUAAUGGCUUGAUGCCUUUCUCAUUGUUAUUCCUUGUGUAUAUAUAGAGGUUACAAGGCUAUACAUAUAAUUACACUACAUAAUUACAUAUAAUGGAAACAAAUCAAUUUUUGAUUUAUGUCCUUAUUUCUAGGAACAAACUAACAAAUAUAUCAAAUCAACUCCUUAUUCACACUAUAGACCACUUUUUGGUGAAGAAGUUAGUAGAAGAGAGGCAGAGAUUAGGUGAGAAUGGAGAAGAAAAUGAGAUUUUGAUUUUUUGUUUGUUUUGUAGCAAGCAUAACAAAAUUGAUAUGUAUGAUUUUUUUUUUUUGGGUAAUGUGAGUGAGACUGGAUCAAAAAUAGAAUGUGCACCAUACUCACAAACAAGCAUCCAAUGCCAUGUUCCAUGUGCUAAUUCAAAUUCAAAAGAAAAACAUAGAUGAGGAUAAGCUUGGUAAUCAAAGGGUUUUUAUGAUCGUUUCUGUCCACAAUGAACAUGUGCCGGUGGACGAACAAGAGACCAGAUUAAUUACUCCCUCGGUCCCUAAUCAAAGUAGAAUACACACUCACAAACAUGCAUCCUAUGCCUGAGCCAUUUUCCUAAUCAAAUUCUAAAGAAGGACAAAUGAGAUGAGGACGAGUUCCCAUAAUCACUACUACACAUAUGACCUUUUGCAACAUCUUAUAUGUGACAUUUUUUAAAAAGUGUUACAUCACUACAACAAUUAUUUUUCAAUAUUAUAAAAAUAACAUUUAAACUUCAGAUUUAUUUCACCCGAAAAAGGUUUUUUAAUACUAUUUAAUUAGUUUAACUUUUAUAGAUUUAUAGAACUUUAUUUUUCAUUUCAGAUAUCUCUCUCAUAGAAUCACUUUUCUCAGAAGGGCUUUAUCCCAAAAUCGCUUUGUCAAAAUUGCUUAAUCAAAAUCUCUUCAUGACAUCUCCUCAUCAGUUUCAUUUCAAUCACACUCACAUCUUCAUCACAAUCGCUCCUCUUCGCAAUCCCUUCAUCGAAAUUGUUCUGGUUAACUUCUUCAUCGCAAUCUCAUUCUGUUCCAAUCGCUGAGUAAGAUUUUGGAUUUUUUGGGUUAAUUCUUCUGAUUUGAUGAGGUAAUUUUUGAUGUUUAAGUUAAGGUGAUGUGAUAAUAAAUCCAAUUUAUAACUUGAUAUUUCUAGGUUUAUUUGAUUUGAUUUGAUUUUAAGUUGAUUAUUAACUUUGGUUAAGAAAUUUACUUUUCUAGGUUAAGUUGAUUCUGAUUUGAUGCAGUUGACAUUUUCUAAGUUAAGUUGAUUCUGAUUUUUGAUGUAAUUGAGAUUUUAUCGAAUUCGGUAACCACCGCCAUCAGAGCAUCAAGAAUGCAGCGACAUUGAACUUCCAAUUGCAGUUGAAGCUUGUUCAUUAUUCUUUAGCAAGGUAUUAUUGUGCUGCCUAUCAGGUGUUCGAUAAUUUGACGCAAUGAAAUUUGACUAUGUUUUGCAAUUGUGUGCUUAUUUAGGAAAGAGGACUGGAUGGUAGAAGUAGAACUUUUUGUAAAAACAUAUGCUUAUUUACUUAUUUAUAGAUUUCUCAAUUGGGAUUAUGAUGCCUAAGGAAGCUAUUUGUUCCUAAAUUAUGUUUUGCCUUUUGAGACUAUUGUGUUUUGUUGUUUACCAUUUAAUCUACCAUAUUAGGUGGCUUAAUCUUUGUUUUUGAAUUAUUUGCAGAUCUGCCAAUGACUUCAAGCGUGAUUGAUGGCUUGCACCAAGAUGGGAACAGUGGCAUCUGAGGUAUAAACUUCCACUUUGAUUGGUUUUAAAAUGAUUCCUUUUACUAUGUGCAUGGUCCAAUGCUCAUCUUUCUUUCCAAGUUAUUUGCAAAUAUUGCAAAUGUUAAUGUUCCAUUGUCAUGAAGUGAUUGAUAAAACAGUUCAAUUUCAAUCUCAGUCUUGGUGUCGCUAAGCCAAUGAAAUGAGAUACUGCAUUCUUUGUGAAUCAAUGCUUGUUUGAGUCCUUUCUGCCAGGGACUUGUUUUGUAGCCUAGAGGUACCAUUCUUCCCUUCCUUAGACUACAACUGUCAUGACAUUUUUCUCUCCCUCCCUUAGUUCAUUAAUUUUUACAUGUUGUUUUUCUUGAGUUUUCCUAUGCUUUAGUUUAAUAUAUUGCUAUUACUUACUAAUAUGUCUGCUAGUUUUUUGCAGGAUUCAGAAAAAGAGGUACAAGUCAUCUAUUUGGUGAAAGUAUAUGUGAUUUUGGCAUGUCCUGCGUUGGGAAGAUAUAUCAAUAGAUGUUUCCCUAUUCCUACCAUCAAAGUUACUUGUGAGUAUUAUAUUUGAUCCACUCUGUCACAUGAAUAAUUAUUAAUGAGUUUAUUCUAUUUAUCAGCUUGAGUCUAUUACAAGAAAAUAGCUUGCUUGACACUUCACAGUAACAUAGAUCAUUGUAAGUUCUAAUUAUUUAGGGGACACAUGAUUUCGCUAAAGAACAAAUGACUAUUAGAAAGAAAGCAUUUUCAGUAAUGGUAGAAGUUUUUGAGAGACAUGGCGCCACAACCUUGCAUACACCUGUCUUUGAAUUGAGAGAAGCUCUCAUAGGAAAAUAUGGAGAAAUCUCAAAGUUGGUUUAUGAUAUUGCUGAUAAGGUUUUAUCGGUUAUUUACUUCUUAACUACUUAAGUUGUUUUAAGAAUAUUUGGGAGAAAUAUUUUUUUACAGCAUUCAAAUAAAUGAAAUUUUUUAACAUUUUUUUCUCUAUAAGUGAAACAAGUUGUUCAUGAAUCUAGAUUUCUGCUUUUUAAGCCAGACUGCCAUUAAGGAUUUUGAGGUUGUUAGAAUUUUGACUUAAUUAGUUGAUGAGCUGAACAUUGGUGAUUUGGAGGUAAACUUUUAUAACAUUCCUGCUACAAAAAUUAUUGGUUUUCUGAAUUUGUAGAACCAUUUAGACUGUUUCCCGAGUUCAUGAUUUGAUAUAUCUAUAUCUGUAAUUUUUCAUAGUCUGUCUAUACUUAUUUUGUGAGCAUUAAUUAACAUAGCACAAUAUCAGAAUAUGUAUUCUUCCCUGGAACCAUCGAUCGGAUUAUCAUGGUAUCUGGUGCAAUCAAAUGAAGUACUAAGAGCUGACAGCUAUAGAGCUCAUUAUUUCAAAGUUGCUUAGUGGGGUAAUAACCAUGAUAUUGAUUCAAUUAGUUACUAGAAUAAAAAAUAUGAUAUUGAUUCAAUUAGUUACUAGAAUAAAAAAUGUCUUGCAUUGCUGGCUUUUGAGCCUAAUUUCCUUGUGUUACGUUUUUGAAGGAUGGCUGAACAAAUUCCACACGGUGUUGCUCAAAGCCUCAUUAACGGGUUAAUUCAUUUUCAACCCUUUAUCAAUUUUUUUCUUCUUUUAAAGUUAAACUAGUUAAACCAAUGAUAUAUAUAAUACAAGCUUGUUUGCUGACAUUUUUCUUUUCAUAGGUUGGCUUCUGUUGCCUUACGUGAAUUUGGAAGGAUUAAUAAUGUGAAAGAUGAAUUAGAAAGUCUUACGAAGACAGUUGAAUCCAUCAGAGCUGCGCUCCUUGAUGCUGAGAACAAACAAGAGAAAAGUCUUUGUGUACAAAACUGGGUUACAAGGCUCAAAGAUGUGCUUGUUGCUGCAGAUGAUUUGAUAGAUGAAUUUCUCCUUGAUACUUUUGGUGCUUUUAACUACAGUUUGUCUAUAUUAGGAAUUGAUUUCAAUUUAUGUAUAGUGAUCUUAAUAUUAAUAAGAAUUUGAGAUUGAAUCAAUUGUUUGUGUUUUACUGAUUGAUCUACCCAGUCUUCACUAUUAAGUAACAUUUAUGCAACAGAAUUUUCAGCGAUUCCAAUUAAAACUGUUAGCUACAGAUUGGCUACUAAUUAGCUUCAAAUUAGUAACAUUUAUGUAACAGAAUUUCUGCAAUUGCAACCUAAACUGUUAGCUAUAGAUUGGCUACAAAUUUGCUACUAAUUAGCUACUAAAUGAGUAACAAUUUUUAGGUGCUGCAAGUUUUACUCUCAAAUGUUACUGAAAUCAUUUAGUAACACGGGCUUUACCUAACAUUUGUCAAAUGUUACAAGAUCUAAAUAGUAACAGUUGUUUUUGAUUUAGUUACAAUUUUGAAGUGUUACUAAAUCUUAUAUAUGUAGUAGUGAAUCAAUGGCUACAAGAUGAUUUCGAGCAUGGUGGAAGAGCUGUAACUUUCCUAUUCUAAAUGGCAUCCUAAAUAGUUAUAACAAUUUAGCAUAUCCAAAGUUCAAACAAGCAAACUUGUGCGUAUUUACACCAAAAGUUUUAGCUUUCAAAAAAACCAGAGGACGUAAACGUAGGAUUAAAUAUUUGUAGCAACUUUACACAAAUCUAUCCUAAAAUUCUAACAGAGAGAUGGCAGGAUGUACUCAGAUUGAUCUGCCAGACCAAAAGGAGCGUAAGGCAUAGCCCCUUUCCUACAGCAACGGUUGAUAAUUCCCUUCCACUUUAUGUAGAAAUAUAUUAGAAAGCUGAAUCUAUAUUGCCACAAAUGCCACUGUUGUAGAAUUCUUUAGGACAUUUAUUUGCAUAACAAUUAGAUUUGGGAAGUUUGUGUAUUUCAAUUUCAUUGUUACCUACCUAGCUAUAAUAGAAUUCAAUUUACAAUACCUCUUAUUGGGAAGAUUCAGAAUAAUAAUUAGCAUAAAUAAUCAAGUAUUUGUACUUUUGUAGUGUUGAUUGCUUACAAUAAAAUAUCCAGAUUCACUGUUGUAACUGCAUCACACGGUUGAAUGCAGAAUAUACUGUGAGCCAAUAAUUUUAUAUCAAACAACUCGACGACACAUUCACCAAAUUGGCUUAGAUUAGGCAGUCAACAUCAGUGACUUUAACAUGACAAGGUAUUCGAUUCCACAUAACAUCUAGCAUUACUAGCGUCACAUUUCAAAAUAAAUGUACACAUAAAGAUGACAUACAAUCCCUUAUCUGAAGUUGUAUUUGAGCUGAAUUUCACAAUUCGUAUCAAACUAGGUCACCAGUCUGACAGCAAUUCGAGUUUCGUUCGCAUGGAAGAGUUGCAUUAUUGUAUGUUUACUGCAAAAGGUAUGCAUUUUCACAAAUACUAUCAUCCAUGUUAUAGCAACUCAACAUAGAAGCGAUCGAACCUCUUAAUGGUCCAAUUUGUCAAAACACCGCUGCAGAAUGAAUACCUAGGAANUCGAAAACGGGUUAACGGUUUGAUUUUUAGGCGCGAAAACGUGAAGGGUGAAAAUCUGAUGCUGUCGAAAUCAUGAGGCGAUUCUAGUGAUCAUGAGGCGAUUUCGACAAAAAAUCUGUAAUUUUAGUAUGUUUGAUGCUGUCGAAAUCAUGAGGCGAUUCUAGUGAUCAUGACAGAAAAUCUGUAAUUUUAGUAUGUCUGAUGCUGUCGAAAUCAUGAGGCGAUUCUAGUGAUCAUGAGGCGAUUUUGACAGAAAAAUCUGUCAUUUUAGUAUGUCUGAUGCUGUCUUACCAGAAACCUUAAAAAUGCAAUUCUCUUCACUCCAAAUAUUUCCAGACUUCUUCUUAAGUGUAGGAACUUUAUCCUAAUCAUCUAGAGAUGUUUUUUAGGAAGGAGAUAACCUUGUAUAAAGGGUCUAAUGAGUUCAUGAGUUGGUCUUUAGGGUAGGAAUGGUAGUUGUUUACAAUAUUAAUGAUAAUCUAUGAAGCUGUUUUAGGAUGUGUUGAUGUUGAUUAUGAUGUCGUACUUAUUACUUGAAUUAUGAAUGUAUAUUUGAGAUGUUGUUGAAUUACAUUUGAUAUUAUUAUGUCAUGUUGUUUUGUAUACUGUUGUGUCGCUGUUGUUAUUUAACUAAGCUGCAUGAGUCGGUCUAAGUUAAUUAAGAUGAUGAGGUUCCAAAGCAUUGGAUUAUAUAAGAGGUUGUGGAUUUAAGAUGUUUAAGAGGUCGAGUCCAUGCAUUAGCAUUUCAUUGUUGGGGCUUGAUGCCCUGGAGCCUUUGCUCAAUUAAGUUGAGGGCUUGAUGCCCUUUGAGCCUUUUUACGCUCAAAUAAAGUUGAGGGUUUGAUGCCCUGGGAGCCUAUUUACGCUCAAAUACGUUGGGGGCUUNUACAAAUUUGCUACUAAUUAGCUACUAAAUGAGUAACAAUUUUUAGGUGCUGCAAGUUUUACUCUCAAAUGUUACUGAAAUCAUUUAGUAACACGGGCUUUACCUAACAUUUGUCAAAUGUUACAAGAUCUAAAUAGUAACAGUUGUUUUUGAUUUAGUUACAAUUUUGAAGUGUUACUAAAUCUUAUAUAUGUAGUAGUGAAUCAAUGGCUACAAGAUGAUUUCGAGCAUGGUGGAAGAGCUGUAACUUUCCUAUUCUAAAUGGCAUCCUAAAUAGUUAUAACAAUUUAGCAUAUCCAAAGUUCAAACAAGCAAACUUGUGCGUAUUUACACCAAAAGUUUUAGCUUUCAAAAAAACCAGAGGACGUAAACGUAGGAUUAAAUAUUUGUAGCAACUUUACACAAAUCUAUCCUAAAAUUCUAACAGAGAGAUGGCAGGAUGUACUCAGAUUGAUCUGCCAGACCAAAAGGAGCGUAAGGCAUAGCCCCUUUCCUACAGCAACGGUUGAUAAUUCCCUUCCACUUUAUGUAGAAAUAUAUUAGAAAGCUGAAUCUAUAUUGCCACAAAUGCCACUGUUGUAGAAUUCUUUAGGACAUUUAUUUGCAUAACAAUUAGAUUUGGGAAGUUUGUGUAUUUCAAUUUCAUUGUUACCUACCUAGCUAUAAUAGAAUUCAAUUUACAAUACCUCUUAUUGGGAAGAUUCAGAAUAAUAAUUAGCAUAAAUAAUCAAGUAUUUGUACUUUUGUAGUGUUGAUUGCUUACAAUAAAAUAUCCAGAUUCACUGUUGUAACUGCAUCACACGGUUGAAUGCAGAAUAUACUGUGAGCCAAUAAUUUUAUAUCAAACAACUCGACGACACAUUCACCAAAUUGGCUUAGAUUAGGCAGUCAACAUCAGUGACUUUAACAUGACAAGGUAUUCGAUUCCACAUAACAUCUAGCAUUACUAGCGUCACAUUUCAAAAUAAAUGUACACAUAAAGAUGACAUACAAUCCCUUAUCUGAAGUUGUAUUUGAGCUGAAUUUCACAAUUCGUAUCAAACUAGGUCACCAGUCUGACAGCAAUUCGAGUUUCGUUCGCAUGGAAGAGUUGCAUUAUUGUAUGUUUACUGCAAAAGGUAUGCAUUUUCACAAAUACUAUCAUCCAUGUUAUAGCAACUCAACAUAGAAGCGAUCGAACCUCUUAAUGGUCCAAUUUGUCAAAACACCGCUGCAGAAUGAAUACCUAGGAAAGGGUCUUGCUAGCAAGGAUCUGAUGCCAAGACGAAUGAAAGUAUGGAACUUGGAACUGGGCGAGGUGAUAUCUCUUUUUGAACUGACUCAAUGGAGAUUUACUGGAAAUUUUUACCAAGUUCUUGAUUGUGCCAAUGUCCUAUAAUGCAUACUGGUGUAUAGGUGUCAUGAGUUAAAGCUUCAAUAUAUUUCAACUUACAAUUACAUUAGAUUGAAGCAACCAAUUUUUCCUUUUUUAGAAUGAAUGUUGGUUGAAUGUUUUUAUUGUUUUACAUCAACGGGAAGGCAUUGUAUUAGAUUCUUGGGUAUAAAAAGAUGCAUUAUGCAGUCUCAGUAUGCCAUACUUAUUUAAUAGAGAAGUCUAAUACAUGUUUAUUACAAACAUCAAAAUAAAUCAUAAGUCUGAAUGACUCGUAAUGAAUUAUAUCUUAAAUUAGACAUCAACAUACACAAAGAACUAGUAUAUAGUGCAUCAAAAAUGGAGGAAGAAUGUAAGCGAAUACUCUUUCAAAUUUUCGAUACACGGUAAAAAAAAUGUAAGUCUUAAAGCAAAGAAAUGCAAGUUAUAGAUAGCAAAUUCUUAAUGAAGUUACAUUUACAAACAUUGCACUUAGGCUUUCAAUUAAUCUAUAGAGUUGAAAAGAACAUCAUAAACCCGGUCGAUAUUAUCACCACUCGCCAACUCCCAACACAUAUCAAAGCCAAACACCAACAUUUUCUAGAUAAGGAAACUAAACAAACAUAUUUCUCUAAUCUCUAUAAGGAUUGGGAUUGUGUGAUUUUGUGGAAAAACAGUCACCCAAAAUAAAGACAAACCUUGUCCCUCUUCUAUAUUACUCUCUCUCUCAUCUUUCUUAUCAUUUCUCUUUCAUUUUUCUCUCUUAUAAAACACUUUAAAAUACAUUAAAGUCACCAUAAUUUUUUAUCUACAAAGUCACAAUCUCAAUCCCGGAUUAUCCAAUGUCACUUCGAAAUAAUCUUGAGAAGAGAAUUCCAACACUCUAAAGGUAGAAAUAAAAUGUAUAGUUAUCAGUGUUAUCCGUGUUGAUUUCAUCUAUGAUUAAAUAGCUUCAAUAUAUCCAACAAAUCAAAUAAAAAAAGAGGCAAAGAACAAAACCUCAUAAGUCCUCUUUUUUCUUUUCUUUUUCUAACUAAAUACAGUUAUCAAUUCUCUUCCUAUAACUCCCCUUUUUCCACUUAUCCAAAAAUCCCUACUCUACAAAGAAUAUGAUGAAGACUAAAAAAUCAAUUUGUACAAAGCUAACCAAAACAAAUGACAAAUUUCUAAACAAAAGUACCAAUAAUUACAACAAAAAAAAAACAUGAGCAUAUCCAACCAAAAUAAAUGAGAAAGAAGAAAAAUCAGUAAAAUCAAGCAGAUGAAAAUAAUUCAGAAACAUGGAAGAAAACUAUGUAGUGGAUAUCAGCUAAGAAGGAAGAGAAAAACAAUUUCACGUCAAUUCCUUAUUAAUGAAACAAUUUCUUUCAUAUUUCUGCAAACACUUGUAUUGAUAUUUAUGAGAUAACGUGACAUUUUUCAUACAAAAAUUAACAAAUACUCCAAGUUUUCACACUUACGUAUAAGAAAUAAAUUUACGGAAGUGUAAUAUUUAAGAGUGUUUUUAUUUACUUUGUCUAGAUAUAUAUCAAACAAUAUUUUAUAAGUCCUUAUCAAAUAGUUCAAGGGUUUUCUAUGCAAUAAUCAUACACCGGCAUGUUAGGCACCUAUGAAAUGAAUUCAAAACUUGUAUGCAAGAAGGACGAAAACCACUAAUUGCAGUAAAUAUUUAAAGCAAAUAAAUAACUUUAUUCAUUGUAAUUUCAUGUAACGUUGAAAUUGAAUCAGUUGGAGACUGACUCUAAGUUAAUGUUGAUGCCAUUUUCUAACAAUUCUCUAUUCUAAUACCUAAGUAACAAUACAUGCUUAAUUUUAAAAAAUUACUUUUUUGGCAUGAAUUUUGUGUUGUGAUUUUUUUUCAUAAGGGAAAUCAACAUUCCCUUGCAAACAUAGUUUUGUCAUUGCAUUAUUUAUUUGGGAAACAGUUCCUCCUUUCCUUUCCAGUCAAGUUGUUAAGGAAAAACUAGGUAUUUUAGAAUUAUUUCUUUGGAGAGUUUUAACCUAGUCCCCCUCUUUUUGUAUAUUUUUCUUUUUUAAAAGUUUAGAUGUCCACAGCCCAUGCUAUCACUUACGGUAAAAAAAAAAGUGUAACGUUGAAAUUCAAAGAAAUAAAUAGAAUUUGAGAAAUGUUAACGAGUACCCACUACACUCUUUAAAGACCUUCAAUAAUAUGUACGAAAAUUCGUGUAUUCAAUACAUUGUCAUUGGUAAAUAUUUGACUUUUUGAAUGAAUAAUUUUUAAAUUUGGCAUAGUGUUUUUUUUUUUUCGACCAUAAAUUUGGCACAGUGCUAUGAAGCACUAAACCCAUAAAAAUUUAUACAAAAAUGAAGGCAACAUUAAGCUAUGAAAAAUUGAAAAUAGAGGGGGUAACAACAAUAACAUAGAAUGAAACUAUUUUAAAUUAUCAAUAAGGAAUAUUUUAGAAAUUCCAAAAAGUAAAGCAGCCUGUUAUUUUUAUUUUUUCAAUUUGAUCAUUUUUGUUAUAAAAUGUCUAUAUUGUAUCAUUUUUUAUAGUAUUUUUUCAAUGACAUCCGAGUUUUUAAGUUUGUAUGAUGAAGAUUUGAGUUUGUUUAUGAGUUUGUUGAUUUUUUUUAGUUUUUUAUUUUUAUUAUAAAAAAUGAUAACGAUGUUUACAUUUUAUAACAUAAUGAUUGAAUCGNNNNNNNNNNNNNNNNNNNNNNNNNNNNNNNNNNNNNNNNNNNNNNNNNNNNNNNNNNNNNNNNNNNNNNNNNNNNNNNNNNNNNNNNNNNNNNNNNNNNNNNNNNNNNNNNNNNNNNNNNNNNNNNNNNNNNNNNNNNNNNNNNNNNNNNNNNNNNNNNNNNNNNNNNNNNNNNNNNNNNNNNNNNNNNNNNNNNNNNNNNNNNNNNNNNNNNNNNNNNNNNNNNNNNNNNNNNNNNNNNNNNNNNNNNNNNNNNNNNNNNNNNNNNNNNNNNNNNNNNNNNNNNNNNNNNNNNNNNNNNNNNNNNNNNNNNNNNNNNNNNNNNNNNNNNNNNNNNNNNNNNNNNNNNNNNNNNNNNNNNNNNNNNNNNNNNNNNNNNNNNNNNNNNNNNNNNNNNNNNNNNNNNNNNNNNNNNNNNNNNNNNNNNNNNNNNNNNNNNNNNNNNNNNNNNNNNNNNNNNNNNNNNNNNNNNNNNNNNNNNNNNNNNNNNNNNNNNNNNNNNNNNNNNNNNNNNNNNNNNNNNNNNNNNNNNNNNNNNNNNNNNNNNNNNNNNNNNNNNNNNNNNNNNNNNNNNNNNNNNNNNNNNNNNNNNNNNNNNNNNNNNNNNNNNNNNNNNNNNNNNNNNNNNNNNNNNNNNNNNNNNNNNNNNNNNNNNNNNNNNNNNNNNNNNNNNNNNNNNNNNNNNNNNNNNNNNNNNNNNNNNNNNNNNNNNNNNNNNNNNNNNNNNNNNNNNNNNNNNNNNNNNNNNNNNNNNNNNNNNNNNNNNNNNNNNNNNNNNNNNNNNNNNNNNNNNNNNNNNNNNNNNNNNNNNNNNNNNNNNNNNNNNNNNNNNNNNNNNNNNNNNNNNNNNNNNNNNNNNNNNNNNNNNNNNNNNNNNNNNNNNNNNNNNNNNNNNNNNNNNNNNNNNNNNNNNNNNNNNNNNNNNNNNNNNNNNNNNNNNNNNNNNNNNNNNNNNNNNNNNNNNNNNNNNNNNNNNNNNNNNNNNNNNNNNNNNNNNNNNNNNNNNNNNNNNNNNNNNNNNNNNNNNNNNNNNNNNNNNNNNNNNNNNNNNNNNNNNNNNNNNNNNNNNNNNNNNNNNNNNNNNNNNNNNNNNNNNNNNNNNNNNNNNNNNNNNNNNNNNNNNNNNNNNNNNNNNNNNNNNNNNNNNNNNNNNNNNNNNNNNNNNNNNNNNNNNNNNNNNNNNNNNNNNNNNNNNNNNNNNNNNNNNNNNNNNNNNNNNNNNNNNNNNNNNNNNNNNNNNNNNNNNNNNNNNNNNNNNNNNNNNNNNNNNNNNNNNNNNNNNNNNNNNNNNNNNNNNNNNNNNNNNNNNNNNNNNNNNNNNNNNNNNNNNNNNNNNNNNNNNNNNNNNNNNNNNNNNNNNNNNNNNNNNNNNNNNNNNNNNNNNNNNNNNNNNNNNNNNNNNNNNNNNNNNNNNNNNNNNNNNNNNNNNNNNNNNNNNNNNNNNNNNNNNNNNNNNNNNNNNNNNNNNNNNNNNNNNNNNNNNNNNNNNNNNNNNNNNNNNNNNNNNNNNNNNNNNNNNNNNNNNNNNNNNNNNNNNNNNNNNNNNNNNNNNNNNNNNNNNNNNNNNNNNNNNNNNNNNNNNNNNNNNNNNNNNNNNNNNNNNNNNNNNNNNNNNNNNNNNNNNNNNNNNNNNNNNNNNNNNNNNNNNNNNNNNNNNNNNNNNNNNNNNNNNNNNNNNNNNNNNNNNNNNNNNNNNNNNNNNNNNNNNNNNNNNNNNNNNNNNNNNNNNNNNNNNNNNNNNNNNNNNNNNNNNNNNNNNNNNNNNNNNNNNNNNNNNNNNNNNNNNNNNNNNNNNNNNNNNNNNNNNNNNNNNNNNNNNNNNNNNNNNNNNNNNNNNNNNNNNNNNNNNNNNNNNNNNNNNNNNNNNNNNNNNNNNNNNNNNNNNNNNNNNNNNNNNNNNNNNNNNNNNNNNNNNNNNNNNNNNNNNNNNNNNNNNNNNNNNNNNNNNNNNNNNNNNNNNNNNNNNNNNNNNNNNNNNNNNNNNNNNNNNNNNNNNNNNNNNNNNNNNNNNNNNNNNNNNNNNNNNNNNNNNNNNNNNNNNNNNNNNNNNNNNNNNNNNNNNNNNNNNNNNNNNNNNNNNNNNNNNNNNNNNNNNNNNNNNNNNNNNNNNNNNNNNNNNNNNNNNNNNNNNNNNNNNNNNNNNNNNNNNNNNNNNNNNNNNNNNNNNNNNNNNNNNNNNNNNNNNNNNNNNNNNNNNNNNNNNNNNNNNNNNNNNNNNNNNNNNNNNNNNNNNNNNNNNNNNNNNNNNNNNNNNNNNNNNNNNNNNNNNNNNNNNNNNNNNNNNNNNNNNNNNNNNNNNNNNNNNNNNNNNNNNNNNNNNNNNNNNNNNNNNNNNNNNNNNNNNNNNNNNNNNNNNNNNNNNNNNNNNNNNNNNNNNNNNNNNNNNNNNNNNNNNNNNNNNNNNNNNNNNNNNNNNNNNNNNNNNNNNNNNNNNNNNNNNNNNNNNNNNNNNNNNNNNNNNNNNNNNNNNNNNNNNNNNNNNNNNNNNNNNNNNNNNNNNNNNNNNNNNNNNNNNNNNNNNNNNNNNNNNNNNNNNNNNNNNNNNNNNNNNNNNNNNNNNNNNNNNNNNNNNNNNNNNNNNNNNNNNNNNNNNNNNNNNNNNNNNNNNNNNNNNNNNNNNNNNNNNNNNNNNNNNNNNNNNNNNNNNNNNNNNNNNNNNNNNNNNNNNNNNNNNNNNNNNNNNNNNNNNNNNNNNNNNNNNNNNNAUUGUUUUGUGAAAUCUCACCCCUUCUGCUUGGAAAUGUUGUUCUUCGUAUGAGUAACUUGCAGGUGAUCGAGUUUAAGUUGCUGUUAGAUUGCUGUCAUGAGUGGAUUAGCUCUCAUGUGUGUCUUUAGGUGCUCUGAUACGUAACGGGAUGAGAAUUUUAUUGUUGUCUUUCUAUUCCUUACGUAUUGUUUUAAGAAGAUUUAUGACUAUGUUUUUAGAUUGGAUUUUAUGAGAUAUUUAUUGAUGAGAUCUUUGUGCCAAAGACUGUUUUAAUUAUUGAAUAAAUUCUGCUGCGAAGUAUUAAAGAUUUUGUUAUUGAAUUUUAAAGGAUAAAUAGUUAUUUAUUCAGUUUAUGAUUUUAAGAAAAGAAUGUGACAUUCCGUUUAUGUGAAUACUCUGAUUAUUUUUAUGAAAUUUUUAUGUUGUGAAAACGGGGUGUUACAGUUUGUAUGGCACACAAGAGGAUCAUAGCUUGAUAAAUAGACAGGAUUAAAAUUUGAUAAUUAUAUCAACUAUCUUAAUUAUUACUAUGUACUACUAAGUUCAAUAAUACCAUACACAAAUUAACUUAGGAUAGCUCAUAAUAUUCCAUAACUCAGAUUACACAUAACCAAUUAACCUGGUCAUAGAUAGAACUUCAAAGAUCAAACAUGACAAAUUGCGCAUAUACAGCUUUCAAUAGUCAUCGCAAAUCUGUUCAAAUAAACCAAAAGAAUUGGAAGCAAUAGUUCAGGUAAUUUUACACAAAUCUUUUCUAGAUUCCAACAGAGACAGCCAAAUGUACUCACACAAGGAGAUUUCAAGAUAGGGUCUAUUACUCCUUCUAGAGCGACAGAUUGCUCCGACGGACCAAAAUGAAUGGACAGCAUGGUGCAUUUUCCAGGCCAAUAGUCAAUAAUCUAUAUCACCACAUUGAUCCAACCGAUUAGAGGGAGUGGAACUGAAAGGCAUGGUACAUUUCCCACGCCAACAGUCCAUAAUCAAUUUCGAAAUUUAGUUGUCUGAUUCGAUAUAUGCAAAAAUCUUCACAACAUUUAUAUAUUAAAAUGCAAUUGUUGUAAAGUUCUGCAAGACAUUUAUUUGUUGUGAUUGGAUUGAGAUUUUAAAAGACUGUUUUGAUAGAAAAAAUCUUGAAGAUUUUAAAAGACUUUGUUGGAUUGUAUUGAUUUUGUGGGAUUUUAAAAGAUUUUUUUUGAAAGACUUUUUACAAUCAAGAUUCUUUGCAAGAUUUUAAUGGAUUCAUGAUAUAGAUUUUAAAGGAUUUUAAUGGAUUUUAAAGAUUUUAAAAGGGUCAAUAAAUUUAAAAAUACAGUACAGACAAAAAAAUCUCAAAAACAAAAGUACAUUAUAAAUCAACCGAAAAAAAAAACAUUGAAUCAAUGAGUGUAAUAUUUCUUCAAAAAAAAGACUAUUAGAUAAUAUACUACUAACAGGUUGAUUGAUCUUAAAAAUUCUAGACAUAUGAUAUCAAAAUAAAUAGACCUAAAAAUAAGUUAUGUUAGUUUAUUGAUUAUAAUAAUUUGAUUGAAAAAUGCAUGUUACAUGUAGAAAAAUGCAAGUAGAAAAAUUAUUAUAAUACCAAUGAACGUAAAGUUGUGAUUUUUAUAAUAAUUUGAUAUAUAGGUAGAUGGUAAAUUAACCACAAGAUUAUACAGUACAUUCUUUUUUUUAAUGAACGUAAAAGUUAUGUUAAGAAAAGUGCAAGUUAGAGGCAUGAUGAUUUCGACAAUAAGUUUGCCAAACAAAAUAUAUGACCUGCCAUUGUUAUAGUAGAACAGAAAAGAAUUUGGAUGAAACGUAAAAAAAAAAAUGAAUUUGGAAGAGUAUUACAAAAUCUCAAGGCUAUGUGUUGGAGAUAGAAAAGUCUCAAGGCUAGGUGUGAGAUUGUUAGUAGGUACAUUUUACACUAAACAAUCUCACAAAAUUCAUUACUCACAACAAUCCAUUAAAAUCCGUAGAGUUUUGAAUACCAGUAGACAAUUUUUAAGUUAUGCAAAAUCUUAAUUGAAUACCACUGAAUUUCAUUGGACUCGUUAAAAAAUCUUGAAAAUCCUAAUUGAAUACCACAAGAAUGUUUUACAUUCCUUAAAAAUCUUGAUUGAAUACCACAAGACUUUUAUAAAAUAAAAAAGUCUUUUAAAAUCCUUUGAAAUCUCAAUCCAAUACACCCCUUGAAAAAUUUGUGUAUUUCAAUUUACAAUGCCUUUACUGGGAAGAUUUAAGAUAUAAUUAGCACAAAUAAUCAAAUAUUUUAAGUGUUGAUUGCUUAACAUAACAUGAUCCAAAUUCACUAUUGUAACUCCAUCAGAUAAUCAAUGAUUUGAUAUCAGACAACUUAGAUUACACCUUUACUAUAUCAGUAAGAUUAGGCGGUCAAAAAUGCAAUUACUGCAGUGUAUCCGAUUCCACAUAACAUCUAGCAUCACUGUUGUCUCAUUUCAAAAUAAUUUGCUAAUAUUACUCUUUCUCCAGAGGGGAUGAUGAAGGGGAGUAAGGUCACAGAUAUCUUGAGAUUCAAGUUUUAGUAAAUUUGCAAUUGUGAUUAAAUUUAAAUGUAUAUAACGUGGCCAUCAAGUUUAGCUGAAAUUAACAAAUGUACACAUAAAAAUGGUAAGUUUACAUAAAAAUGCAAAUUCUUUUCCUUGAUUAUUCACAGUAUAUAUAGACAUAAUGAAGAGCUAUUCGUAAGAUUCACAGUCCUUGUACUGAGAUGAAAAAGCAAAUAAAUGAAUCAACAAAUGACACUAUAUGUUCUUCUUGAUGGAACCUGGAAGACAUGCACCCGACGUAUUGUUAAAAAAUCUUGUACUUCUUGCAAUAAAGAUCAUCCACAAUCAGUUAGCUGAGUUGUAUUUGAGCUGACUUGCACAAUUUGUAUCGGACUAGGUCACAAGUAGAACAGCAGCUUGAGUUUAACGAAUACAAUCAUAUAUGCAAGCAACACAACAUAAAUGUGAACAUCUUCAUGCUCCAAUUUGUCAAAACGCCACUGCAUAUUGAACGACGAGGAAAGGAUCUCAACAGCAAGGAUCCGAUGCAAAGACAAAUAUGAAAGAGUGGAACUUGGGAAUGAGAAGAUGAUUUCUCAAACUGAACAGAACUCAACGUAGAUUUACUCGAAAAGUUUAAAAUAUAUUUUUGAUUGUGUCAAUGUCCUUUAAUGUUCCCCAUUCAAAGCCAUUGCUAAGCCGAUCAUAAACACAGUUGCAGACUAUGAAGCACAGACACAGACACUCGUAAAAAUUUAAGAAAUUGGUAUAAUUAAAUGUAACCCUAACAAUCAGUGCUGUGUUAGAGAUCGGACAACCUUCAACAGAUGAUUAACCUUACACCACUUGAUUGUCCUAGCUUGUGAUGAAAACCACCGAGUCAAUUGCAUAAAAAAAUGCCAAUGUUCUUCAAUGCAAUGACUACGAGACGAUUACAUUAAAAAUGCCAAGCAAUGCAAAACCACUGAGAAAUUCUGAUUUUCAUGGAAGAUAUUGCUUCAUCCAAUAUAAAGUCAAAUUAAUAUUUGAAUGAAUCCAAGAAAAGUCCCAAUGUAAGGCCAGCUUUCCAAUAAUUAAACACCGAUAUUAGGCUUUUGGUAAAUAAAGGAAGAGAAGCACUGUACAUGAGAGCACCAAUGCCUUCCGCAACAACAACAGCUAAGGCAGCAGAUAGAAUAUCCCAAUCACCAGUUUGUCCAAUAACAGUGGAAAAGGCAGUUGCACAAUAAAAUCCAACCAAGAAGAAAAGAAGCUUCAUUGGAAGAUUUUUCUUUACCUUCUCAAUUUUAGAACCUAACGUGGUCCGAAAUUCUUGAAUCACUCUAAUUAUACGCGUCCUUCCGUUAGUUCCGUUUGAAGGACUGAAACUGCUGUCGUUUAUGCUGCUUCUCACUGACCAAGUCAUCCUCCUGAUGUUUAAACUUAGCAAUAUAUAAUUCUAUUCAUAAAAUUGACUUUUGAUAUUCAUGCAUAGAGUGCUGAGAGCAAUGUUAUCAAUGGAGGAUGGUAGAAAACAGAGGAGCGCCAAAAGUUUGUUAUGUGAAAUACUGCCUCUGUUUCAAAACACAUGUCGCAAUUCUAUUCAUAAUAUCUGUUAAGUUUCAAUCUUUUGUUCUCAUCAAACUGAGACACUCCUUAAACAACCUACAAAGUUCAAAGAAAAAGGAAAAUGUACCAAAACCAUCAAAAGAGAAAAUGCUAAUUAAAUUUUUUUCAAAAUAUCAUUCUUCAAAAAUUUCAAACUUGACAUUAGAUAUUUACUAAAAUCAAUAAUUGGAUGCGAGUCUAAGCUUAUAGCAUUACAUUUCUUAUGAUAGCAGUAGAUAGAUAAAGAAUUAUGUUGGAGAAAUUUAAUUGUAGACAUACUAGUGUAAAAAUGUCAUUAGUUGAAGCUUCAAUAUACUCCAAUGCACAAUGUAUUUGGUUGAGUAAUGCUCAUUUGACCGAAGAAUGGUUUAUAAUUUCUUUAGUAUUUUAUUUGUUACAUGAAUGGGGACGCAAUGCAUUAGAUUCUUAGUAUUGAAAGAAACAUUAUGGUGUCUCAAUAUGCAUUAAUUUUCUAACUAAAUCCAAUUCUCAAUUGUCUUCCUAUAACUUCCCUCUUUUCACUUAAUCAAAAGAGGAAUGAUAGGAACACUCUCUUCAACAUUCAUUCUCUUAUUGCAUGAAACCAUUGUAUGACCCACCACUUUGAGUGGAAUCCAUUCCCAAAGCAUGCGACUCGUCAUGNNNNNNNNNNNNNNNNNNNNNNNNNNNNNNNNNNNNNNNNNNNNNNNNNNNNNNNNNNNNNNNNNNNNNNNNNNNNNNNNNNNNNNNNNNNNNNNNNNNNNNNNNNNNNNNNNNNNNNNNNNNNNNNNNNNNNNNNNNNNNNNNNNNNNNNNNNNNNNNNNNNNNNNNNNNNNNNNNNNNNNNNNNNNNNNNNNNNNNNNNNNNNNNNNNNNNNNNNNNNNNNNNNNNNNNNNNNNNNNNNNNNNNNNNNNNNNNNNNNNNNNNNNNNNNNNNNNNNNNNNNNNNNNNNNNNNNNNNNNNNNNNNNNNNNNNNNNNNNNNNNNNNNNNNNNNNNNNNNNNNNNNNNNNNNNNNNNNNNNNNNNNNNNNNNNNNNNNNNNNNNNNNNNNNNNNNNNNNNNNNNNNNNNNNNNNNNNNNNNNNNNNNNNNNNNNNNNNNNNNNNNNNNNNNNNNNNNNNNNNNNNNNNNNNNNNNNNNNNNNNNNNNNNNNNNNNNNNNNNNNNNNNNNNNNNNNNNNNNNNNNNNNNNNNNNNNNNNNNNNNNNNNNNNNNNNNNNNNNNNNNNNNNNNNNNNNNNNNNNNNNNNNNNNNNNNNNNNNNNNNNNNNNNNNNNNNNNNNNNNNNNNNNNNNNNNNNNNNNNNNNNNNNNNNNNNNNNNNNNNNNNNNNNNNNNNNNNNNNNNNNNNNNNNNNNNNNNNNNNNNNNNNNNNNNNNNNNNNNNNNNNNNNNNNNNNNNNNNNNNNNNNNNNNNNNNNNNNNNNNNNNNNNNNNNNNNNNNNNNNNNNNNNNNNNNNNNNNNNNNNNNNNNNNNNNNNNNNNNNNNNNNNNNNNNNNNNNNNNNNNNNNNNNNNNNNNNNNNNNNNNNNNNNNNNNNNNNNNNNNNNNNNNNNNNNNNNNNNNNNNNNNNNNNNNNNNNNNNNNNNNNNNNNNNNNNNNNNNNNNNNNNNNNNNNNNNNNNNNNNNNNNNNNNNNNNNNNNNNNNNNNNNNNNNNNNNNNNNNNNNNNNNNNNNNNNNNNNNNNNNNNNNNNNNNNNNNNNNNNNNNNNNNNNNNNNNNNNNNNNNNNNNNNNNNNNNNNNNNNNNNNNNNNNNNNNNNNNNNNNNNNNNNNNNNNNNNNNNNNNNNNNNNNNNNNNNNNNNNNNNNNNNNNNNNNNNNNNNNNNNNNNNNNNNNNNNNNNNNNNNNNNNNNNNNNNNNNNNNNNNNNNNNNNNNNNNNNNNNNNNNNNNNNNNNNNNNNNNNNNNNNNNNNNNNNNNNNNNNNNNNAAAAAAAAAAAAAAAAAAAAACAAGGAAAUAAAAGAUAUAUGCUUCUAAAAUAUGUGAGAAUAACUAUAUUAUUAAAACCCAUGCAAACACGAAAGUGGAUUUGAGCUUUUUCACUAAUUAACAUUUUAGUAGUCACAACCUAAAUUUAUUGUUGAGGAGCAAACAGCGCAAAGCAAAUUUAUUAAUCCAAAUCCAAUGUUUCCGAAAGUCAAGAAAUAACACUAAAAAAUUGAUAUGAAUGUCAAUAAACAAACAUAACGAAUUAUCAUGGCGGGGUCUGGGCUCUGCCAACAACAUAUUACAUCAUGUAUAGGUUCUUUUUUGUUUGACCAAAAAAGCAAGCAUGGUUUGAAAUUCGCAAAGGGAUAAAUUUUGAAACCCUACGAGUCCAGAACAUAUAUAGUUGCAACAUAAUCUGAUACAGAGAUGGGAAAACGAAUUACGAAUUUAUUAGGAUUAUUGAGCUGGUAACUAAGCAAUGAGCAAAGAGAGAAGUGAUGAAGUAUAAUGCACACCACAAACCGAAGAAAGUGGCGAAGACGACCACCGUAGAAAACAUUUAGGCUAGAAAAGGAUCAUCACAUCCCAAUUUUCCAGAACUAAAAGAAAAAUAAAGUAAUUAAUAAAAUAAGGUAAAGAUGGUAAAAAUAAUAAAAUGGAAAAGCGGGACAUCUUGAAGUGGUGAGUUUUUAAUUGAUAUGGUGGUGUAUUGAGAGGAACAAGUGUUUUUUUGCUACUCUUCUUCUCUAUACCCUGUUUUUAUACUAGUAAAUUCUAGAUUAUAGUCCACUUUUUGAUGAAGAAAAUGCCAAAAUUAAACGAGUAUUGUCUGUUUGGUAGAAUAACUGAAGAAUCAUACUUCUCACAUGUUAGUAGAGGUAGCGAGCAUAACAAAAUUGAUAUUUAUGAUUUUUUUUUAUUUUUUUUUGGGUAAUGUGAGUGUGACUGGAGGGAAAGAGUAUGUGUAAACGGCUCAAAAAUAGAAUGUGCACCAUACUCACAAACAAGAAUCCAAUGCCAUGCUCCAUGUGCUAAUUCAAAUUCAAAAGAAGAACAUAUGAGAUGAGGAUGAGUUUUGGUAAUAAAAGGGUUUUGGUGAUAGCUUUGGUCCAAAAUGAAAAUGUGUCAAUGGAAGGAUAAGAAACUAGAUUAAUUACUCCCUCGAUCCCUAAUCAAAAUAGAACAUACAUACUCACAAACAUGGUAUGCCUGACCCAUGUUCCUAAUCAUAUUCUAAAGAAGAUUAAUAUUGACUCUUCGGUCAGGUUACCUUAAAAAAAAACUCAUUCGGUUAAGUUUGAAUCCAUGACCUUCAAUACUUUAUCCCUUUAGCCUAAGCCAUUGAUCAGAAUGUCACAAUGUUGACCCCCCCUUUGAGCAGAUAUACCACGACCAACUUGCAGUUAAUUAGCUUGCAAAACUCAAUCUUAUAAAACUCACUCUUUUAAAACCCGGAUCUUAGACAUAUAUGUCCACAAAUUUUAAAGUUAUUUAAACAUUGAACCAUAUAGAAUAGGGGUGGCAAUUAGACCCAGGCUCGAUGGACACCCGCAAAAAAUAGCCGCAAUGGGUAGGGUAAAACCCCGCUUUCAUAGAUAUGGGCAUGGGCAUGGGCAUGAAAUCACACAUUUGCAAUUAUGAGGCUUAAAAUCGCACCAUUGGUAAACUAAGGGGUUAAAAUGUAUUUAAGUCUAUUAUUUUUGUAAUAUUAUUUAAAUUAUUAAUAAAUUGGAUAAAUCUCAUUAAAAUAGGAAAAAUCAGAACAAUAGGAACAAUAUUAAGAAUUAUGAAAAACCUUUUUUGACCUCAUAUAAAAACAAUAACAUAUUGUUUUGUAGUGUAACAUUUUUUCUUCCAAUUUUACCACACGUUUCUUUAAUUAUUUGCUAUCAUAUUGUAUUUAUUUGUUAUUUAAAGGCUUGUCUUAAUGCUAGUCCUAUGUUAUAUCCGUUGCUCUUUAUAUUUUAAUAAUAAUACAUAAAAAUAUAUUAAAUUAAUAACAUUAAAUCCUUAUAUUAUAAACACUUAAAUAUAAAUUUUGCUAUAAAUUAUGAAUUUCUUUUUAUGUCAUUUUACAUUCAUAAGUUAGAUGUGAGGUUAAUUUUACCAAACACUUCAAUUAGUUUAUCGGCUAUAAGUCAUCAGUCAUCAGCUAUCGCUAUCAGAUAUCAGUCAUCAGUCAUUAGCUAUAGGCUCCGUUUGGAUAAACAGUUUAUAUAGAUGCUUAUAUCAUUAGAGCUUAUAAUGUUAGAGCUUACAUUAUAAGCUCUUAUACUUGAUAAGCUAUUUAUGUUUGGAUAUGUACACUAAAAAGUACUUACAUAAGUUGAAGUGUUUGGAUGUGACAUUACAAAAGCAAUUAUCGAAAUUUUAAAUAUUUUUAAUUUAAAAAAAAAAAUCAAAGAAUCGAACCACAAUUAUCAAGAUUUUUUUUGAUAAAAUUAAUCAAGAUGUAAAAAAUAAUAUUAUAAUAUAUUAAUUAUAAUUAUAUAUAUAGUAUAAUAAAUAUUCGUCCUUAAAAAAAAUAUAAAUAUUCAUAUAAGACAAAAUUAACAUUCGAGGUGUAAAUAAAUAGUCUAAACAUCAUCAUACACAAGUAUAAUAAUAUAUGAUAAGCUUUCUUUUUUAAAAGAAGUAUAAUAAUAUAAAUAUAAACUUGAGAAAUUAUGAUUGUAAACUUACCAUAUAUAUAGAUAUUAAUGUACAGUUUGUUAUCAAAAAAAGAUAAGUUAAGUUUAUUUUUUGGGUUAAUGGUGAUUUACCCCCUGUAAUAUAGGUCAUUUUUUGUUUUCCCCCAUGUAAAUUUUUUUUUUGAUUUAUCCCCCUGUAAAAAAUUUUUUUUUUUGGAAUACCCCCCUAAUAGGUCAUAAAAAAACGACUUUAUUUUUUUUUUUUAGAAUUUUUUCGUUUUAUUUUGAUAUGUAACCCUUACAGGGGGUAAAGCACCAUUAACCCUUGUUUUUUUUUUAUUCAGUUUUAUUUUGUUAUGUAACAAUAAAAUAAUAAAAAUCUUCCUUAAAAAAAAUCUUAGUUACGUGUGUUACUUUAGUAAGAUAAGUAUAUAGCAAUUUUGUUACUCAUCCACAACCAAAGAUAACUAACAUUAUAAUUAAAAUAUAUGUUUUUUUUUCUAAAAACAAAAAAAUAAAAUUAAAAUAUAUGUUUUGAAAAAGUGGAUCCAGAGAGAACCGAAGGAGGUUACAUAAAUUCAUAAGCUCCUUGUUAAGCCGGAGGGUAAGCUGAAAAUUUAGGCUUAUUAACAUAUGGCAUAAGCAGCUUAUGAAACUAUGAUAAGCUAUUUUUAUUUAUUUACCCAAACAUCUUUAAAAAGGCUUAUAGAAGUAGAUAAACCCACAUAAACUCAAAAUAAGCCAAGUCAAACGGGACCAUUAUCUAUCUGCUGUUUAGUAAUCACUUUUCUUAUAAUAGAAGUAGAUUAAGAAUUAUGUUGGAGAAAUUUAAUUGUAGACUUACUAGUGUAAAAGUGUCAUUAGUUGAAGCUUCAAUAUACUCCAAUGGACAAUGUAUUUGACUAAUGCUCAUUUGACCGAAGAAUGGUUUAUUUUUUUUUAGUAUUUUAAUUGUUUUACAUGAAUGGGAUGGCAAUGCAUUAGAUUAUUGAGUAUUGAAAGAAACAUUAUGGUGUCUCAAUAUGCAUUAAUUUUCUAACUAAAUUCAAUUCUCAAUUGUCUUCCUAUAACUUCCCUCUUUCCACUUAACCAAAAUGGAAGAAAAGGAAGAAAAAUCUGUAAAAUCAAGCAGAAGAAGUUAAUUGAGAAACAUGGUACUCCCUUCGUUCCAAAUUAUAUGAUGUUUUGGGCAUUUUACACAUAUUAAGAAAUGUAAUAAAUAUUGUGUGGGAAAGAGAUAUUAUAAGUUGUUUUACAAAAUUAUCUUUAAUAAAUGAUAUGAGAAAGAUAAAUGAAGGAAUUGAAAGAAGAGAGAGUAAUAAAUAGCUAAGGAUAUAAUAGGAAAGGUAACAUUGAUAUUUCAUUGGUAUUGUACAAAGCUAACCGAAACAAAUGACAAAUUUCUAAACAAAAGUACCAAUAAUUACAAAAAAAAAAAGGCUAAAUUACCUUUUUAGUCCUCUAACUAUUUAGUUGGUAUCGGAUUGGUCCUCUAACUAAAAAUUGAUUUAUUUCGGUCCUCUAAGUUUCUCACCGUUACUACAUUUAGUCCUUUCUGUUAGUUUUAUUCAAAUAAACGUUAGGGUUUGUGUUAUGUGGGUCCUCUAACUUUAUUUAUUAGCAUCAUUUUGGUCCUAUUCCUUGUUAAGGUAUUAUGAUUAAAUAGUGACGGAUAUUAUUGGUAACUGUUAUGGUUCAUAUGUAUGUGUGAAAUAGGAGGUCAGGUACCCAUAUAACACAAACCCUAACGUUUAUUUGAAUAAAACAAACAGAAAGGACUAAAUGUAGUAACGGUGAGAAACUUAGAGGACCAAAAUAAAUCAAUUUUUAGUUAGAGGACCAAUCCGAUACCAACUAAAUAGUUAGAGGACCAAAAAUGUAAUUAAGCCAAAAAAAAAAAAAAGAGCAUAUCCAACCAAAAUAAAUGAAAAAGAAGAAAAAUCAGUAAAAUCAAGCAGAUGAAAAUAAUUCAGAAACAUGGAAGAAAACUAUGUAGUGGAAGGAAGAGAAAAACAAUUUCAAGUCAAUUACAAUUUCUUUUAUAUUUCUGCAAACACUUGUGUUGAUAUUUAUGAGAUAACGUGACAUUUUUCAUACAAAAAUUAACAAAUACUCCAAGUUUUCACACUUGCGUGUAAGAAAUAAAUUUACGGAAGUGUAAUAUUUAAGAGUGUUUUUAUUUACUUUGUCUAGAUAUAUAUCAAACAAUAUUGUAUAAAUCCUUAUCAAAUAGUUCAAGGGUUUUCUAUGCAAUAAUCAUACACCGACAUGUUAGGCACCUAUGAAAAACUGAAUUCAAAACUUGUAUCUAACAAGGAUAUGAAAACCACUAAUUGCAGUAAAUAUUUAAAGCAAAUAAAUAAUUUUAUUCAUUGUAUUUUCAUGUAACGUUGAAAUUGAAUCAGUUGGAGACCAACUCUAAGUUAAUGUUGAUGCCAUUUUCUAACAAUUCUCUAUUCUAAUACCUAAGUAACAAUACAUGCUUUAUUUUAAAAAGUUACUUUUUGGCAUGAAUUUUGUGUUGUGAUUUUUCCAUCAGGGAAAUCAACGUGUUGAUUCCCUUUGCAAACAUAGCUUUGUCAUUGCAAGCUUUAUUUAUUUGGGAAACAGUUUCUUCUUUCCUUUCCAGUCAAGUUGUUAAGGAAAAAUUUAGUAUUUUAGAAUUAUUUCCUUUGGAGAGUUUUAACCUAGUUCCCCUCUUUUUGUAUAUUUUUCUUUUUUAAAAGUUUAGAUGUCCACAGCCCAUGCUAUCACUUACGGUAAAAAAAAAAGUGUAACGUUGAAAUUCAAAGAAAUAAAUAGAAUUUGAGAAAUGUUAACGAGUACCCACUACACUCUUUAAAGACCUUCAAUAAUAUGUACGAAAAUUCGUGUAUACAUUGUCAUUAGUAAAUAUUUGACUUUUUGAAUGAAUAAUUUUUAAAUUUGGCAUAGUGUUUUUUUUUUUUCGACCAUAAAUUUGGCACAGUUCUAUGAAGCACUAAACCCAGAAAAAUUUAGACAAAAAUGAAGGCAACAUUAAGCUAUGAAAAAUUGAAAAUAGAGGGGGUAACAACAAUAACAUAGAAUGAAACUAUUUUAAAUUAUCAAUAAGGAAUAUUUUAGAAAUAUAUAAUAGGAACAAUAUUAAACAUUAUAAUAAACCAUUUUUGACUUUAUAUAAAAACAUAUUGUAUUUUAGUGUAACAUUUUUCUUCCAAUUUUACUAUACUUUUAUUUAUAUGUUAUCACUUAUUAUUUGUUAAUUAAAACGAUAAAAGUGUUAUGUCAACAUUCGUCUUAACGCAAGUUCUAGGCUAUUAUUUUUCCAAAAAGUAAAGCAGCCUGUUAUUUUUAUUUUUUCUAUUUGAUCAUUUUUGUUAUAAAAUGUCUAUAUUGUAUCAUUUUUUAUAGUAUUUUUUCAAUGACAUCCGAGUUUUUAAGUUUGUAUGAUGAAGAUUUGAGUUUGUUUAUGAGUUUGUUGAUUUUUUUUAGUUUUUUAUUUUUAUUUUUUAUAAAAAUGAUAACGAUGUUUACAUUUUAUAACAUAAUGAUUGAAUCGAAAAAAAAAAAAAAAAGGACGUAAGUGUGAUAUGCCAUUAAGUUAAGCGACGAAUUGUGUAAUUUUGCCAAAAGGAAGAGGUAAGAAAUAAGACUCAAAAUGUAGAGAAAGCAAUCGUAAGAAAACGAAGGAAAAAGAAAGACAGUGGACGUGAAGAUCUCUGGAUCUUUGACUGUGGUGGUGCGCGGCUAAACAAGGAGGAUUGGCAGUUUAAGUCGUAGAGUUUUUUUUCAUUGAUGUGGUGUUUGAGAGGAACAAGUGUUAUUCAUUUUGUUACUCUUCUUCUCUACCCAUCCUUGCCUCUCCUAUUUUUAUAUAUCAGUAGAAGUCUAAAGUUUAUGCCACUUUUUUAUGAAGAAAAUGCCAACUAACUGUGUACUGAGAACCAAAAAAUGUGUAUUUUCAUGCAGUGUUUGUUUGGUUGCGAGCAAAACAUGUGAUAGGCAUGAUUUUCUUGGGUGAGAAAUGAGACGUAAGGGAAAGUAUGAGAAAAACGGUUCAAAAAUAGAAUGUUAUUAUUAUUUCAUCUAUUUCAAAAUAAGUGUAACUUGGACAUUCAGUCGGGUGUGAGGCCAAAACCACGACCUAAACUAAACCGCAGAUGCUGUCACAAGGUCCGAUUUUAUCCGCUUUACAAAAUCAGUUUGAUAAUCUGGUGGUUUGUAUGGCACACAAGAGGAUCAUAGCUUGAUAAAUAGACAGGAUUAAAAUUUGAUAAUUAUAUCAACUAUCUUAAUUAUUACUAGGUACUACUAAGUUCAAUAAUACCAUACACAAAUUAACUUAGGAUAGCUCAUAAUAUUCCAUAACUCAGCUUUCAAUAGUCAUCACAAAUCUGUUCAAAUAAACCAAAAGAAUAAGAAGCAAUAGUUCAGGUAAUUUUACACAAAUCUUUUCUAGAUUCCAACAGAGACAGCCAAAUGUACUCACACAAGGAGAUUUCAAGAUAGGGUCUAUUACUCCUUCUAGAGCGACAGAUUGCUCCGACGGACCAAAAUGAAUGGACAGCAUGGUGCAUUUUCCAGGCCAAUAGUCAAUAAUCUAUAUCACCACAUUGAUCCAACCGAUUAGAGGGAGUGGAACUGAAAGGCAUGGUACAUUUCCCACGCCAACAGUCCAUAAUCAAUUUCGAAAUUUAGUUGUCUGAUUCGAUAUAUGCAAAAAUCUUCACAACAUUUAUAUAUUAAAAUGCAAUUGUUGUAAAGUUCUGCAAGACAUUUAUUUGUUAUGUAACAAUUAGUUUUGAAAAAUUUGUGUAUUUCAAUUUACAAUGCCUUUACUGGGAAGAUUUAAGAUAUAAUUAGCACAAAUAAUCAAAUAUUUCAAGUGCUGAUUGCUUAACAUAACAUGAUCCAAAUUUACUAUUGUAACUCCAUCACAUAAUCAAUAAUUUGAUAUCAGACAACUUAGAUUACACCUUUACUAUAUCAGUAAGAUUAGGCGGUCAAAAAUGCAAUUACUGCAGUGUAUCCGAUUCCACAUAACAUCUAGCAUUACUGUUGUCUCAUUUCGAAAUAAUUUGCUGAUAUUACUCUUUUUCCUGAGGGGGUGAUGAAGGGGAGUAAGGUUACAGAUAUCUGGAGAUUCAAGUUUUAGUAAAUUUGCAAUUGUGAUUAAAUUUAAAUGUAUAUAACUUGGCCAUCAAGUUUAGCUGAAAUUGACAAACGUACACGUAAAAAUGGUAAGUUUACAUUAAAAUGCAAAUUCUUUUCCUUGAUUACUCACAGUAUAUAUAGACAUAAUGAACAGCUUUUCAGAAGAUUCACAAGCCUUGUACUGAUAUGAAAAAACAAAUAAAUGAAUCAACAAAUGACACUAUAUGUUGUUCUUGAUGGAACCUGGAAGACAUGCACCCGACGUAUUGUUAAAAAAUCUUGUACUUCUUGCAGUAAAGAUCAUCCACAAUCUUAUCUGAAGCUGUAUUUGAGUUGAAUUGCACGGUUUGUAUCAAACUAGGUCACAAGUAGAACAGCAGCUCGAGUUUAACAAAUACCAUCAUAUAUACAAGCAACACAACUGCAUAUUGAACACCAAGGAAAGCCAGCAAGGAUCUGAUGCCAAGACAGUGUAUGAAAGUAUGGAACUUAGGGAUGAGGGAGAUGAUUUCUCAAAUUGAACAGAACUCAAUGGAGAUUUACUUGAACCAUUGAAACUAUGUUGUUGAAUGUGCCAAUGUCCUUUGAUUAACCCUUACACAACUCACAUGUCCUCGCUUGUGAUAAAAAAUCAUUGAAUCGACUGCGUAAUAAAGCCAACUCAUGAAAAAGCACUGAGAAAUUUUGAUUUUCAUGGAAGGUAUCAUUGCAUAUCCAAUAUAAAGUCAAAUUAAUAUUUGAAUGAAUCCAAGAAAAGUCCCAAUGUAAGGCCAGCUUUCCAAUAAUUAAACACCGAUAUUACACUUUUGGUAAAUAAAGGAAGAGAAGCACUGUACAUGAGAGCACCAAUGCCUUCCACAACAACAACAGCUAAGGCAGCAGAUAGAAUAUCCCAAUCACCAGUUUGUCCAAUAACAGUAGAAAAGGCAGUUGCACAAUAAAAUCCAAUCAAGAAGAAAAGAAGCUUCAUUGGAAGAUUUUUCUUUACCUUCUCAAUUUUAGAACCUAACGUGGUCUGAAAUUCUUGAAUCACUCUAAUUAUACGCGUCCUUCCGUUAGUUCCGUUUGAAGGACUGAAACUGCUGUCGUCUAUGCUGCUUCUCACUGACCAAGUCGUCCUCCUGAAGUGGAAUAAAAGGACUUGUUAUCCCAUGAAAUGUUCAAACUUGCAAUAUAUAAUUCUAUUCAUAAAAUUGACUUAUGAUAUUCACGCAUAGAGUGCUGAGAGCAAUAUUAUCAAUGGAGGAUGGCAGAACACAGAGGAGCGCCAAAAGUUUGUUAUGUGAAAUAGCAGAUAGCAUUGAGGUCAAAUAGAAGCUGAAUUAAGUCAAUCAUCUAUAUAUAUAUAGUUGCAUACAGAUAUAAAAGGGAAUGAACUAAAAGCAUAGCUUACAUAUUGAAAUAUUUAGGUAUUAUGGUGAAUAUAGGAGUAAUACUUAAUGAAUCUUCACUAUUUUAAAAAUAGGUAAUAUUUGCGCAUAAGAAAACUCAUCAAUAUUAAUAUAAAAAUCCUAAAAUCUAUUUUUUCCAUUUUUGUCGCUACAUUUGGUAGCAGAAAUUGGAAUAGCAGCCGCUGUUGCCCUAAUAGCAAAAUAAGAACAGUGCCGUGGUUUUUAUAGCAGAAUCAGCAAAAUUCACUAUGCUAUAGUGAUAAUAUCAUGGCUAUUUGACAACACUUGCUGAGUGUUUCAAACAGCAUGCAUACAGGUGAAAAACACAAACAUGACAUUGUUUUACAUCAAAUUGAAUUUAUCAAGAUUUUAGUAAUCAAACACGCUACAUCCAUCAUGUGAAGAUAACUUCAAGGAUAUUGAAGAUACUCUUAUCUGGUGUUGUCAAUCGCAGAUUUGUUCAAAUUCCGCGACACUGCUGUGCUAUAUUGCCGUUGUAGCCGCUAUCUGACCACACUUUGUACUAAUAGUGUAUCGUAGAAUAAUAGUUGCUUGUUCAAAUUUUGCUAUGCUAUAGCUGCUAUUUGACAAUAACGGUCUUAUCAUCAUCUGUUUUGGUGCUUAAAGACCUAAACAAAAUCCUUGUUAUCAAUUUAAUUACUUAACUACACCUAGCCAAUAAAACACUAGUAUAGAACUAUCUAACAGUGAAGACAAGUUUACAAUAAUAAUGUUAUGUUACAUAACCUACAUCUCAAGUUCCGUAAAUGUGUUGAUUUGCUACAGAACCUCCAACUAUGCAAUAAAUACUUAAACCAUGUCAUUAUAUAUCUUAGGUCUUGUGAAGAUUAGAUUAUCAUAAGUAUAAACUGCUACUGACUUACUUGAAACCGACAACUAAACAAGGUUGAGCAAAAUGAAAGGAGAAACAUGGAGAAAGCUUCUGGCCAAAUGCGGUUUUGUAAAAGAAUGCAGCAAGACCAACUUCAGAAACUCUCGAACUGAUAUAAUCAAGACAUAUAAAUUUGGCACUUGUCAUACAAUUGGAUAACAUCGUUUUGGUCGUAACUCGGAAACAGCAUGCAGAGUCCUUAUUCCUGGAGAUGAUACAAAAUGUAAGAAACAUCAAUAGGCACAACACUCCUUGAUGCAAAGAACGACAGCACGUGGAACCUUGAAUAAUUAAAAUACUCCAAAUGAACUAUCAUUAUAUGGUAUACAAUCAAUGAAACCAUUAUAAAACUAGUAAUUACCAUUCAUGUGAGUUCCUAACUUAAAAAUGGUGAUGGAGAGAUAGACACAAAAACUAUGCAAAGUUUCACAAAUUUUGUUAGGGAUCUACCUGUUUGGUAUUGUGAAUGUUCAUUUUGAUUAUUUACGAAGAAAUAUUGUUUUGAAAAAUGUUCUAUGAAAAAACACCGUUAUAUGGCUGAAGCUUUAUAUUUUAGGUGAAUCCACAUGUCUCCUCCCGUUGGAAGCAAUCUUGUUGAAGGAAUUAUAGGACACUAAAUUGACGUCUCUUCUACAUGGGUUCAAAGUUCGAUCAUAGCUCGCCACGUUGUGGAGACUAUAGCCCCAUCUGUUAGACUUAACUACCAUCGAUAGAAGAUGCUCCGUAUUGCACCACCACAAGGUUAUCCUCUCUAAGAAAGCUACAUGAUAUGUUUUGAAAACAGUGUUGUCAAGUAGUGGCUAAAAUAGUGCUAUAGCACUAUAGUAUAGGAUAAUUUUAACAAAUUGUUUCUGUUUUUCUGUACGCUAUUUGGUACAAAUUGUUGUCAAACAGAGGCAUUGUAGCAAGCGGAAUCCAAACAAACUGUUAUUUUCCACAAUUGACAAGAACAACAACAAAGUCUUAUCCCAUUAAGUGGGAUCGGCUACAUGAAUCAAACGCAAAGUCUUAUCCCACUAAGUGGCGUCGGCUACAUGAAUCAAACGACGCCAUAAUGUUCUAUCAAAUACCUUAUUUCUUUCUAACUCAUUAACAUUUAGAUCUUUCUUAAUAGUUUCUCUUAUAGUUUUUCUAGGUCUUCUCUCCAUAAGUUAUACUUUCCUUACUACAAAAUCCAUGUUUCUUCUCUCUACAUACCGAAACCCCCUAAGCCUAUUUCAUGUCAUAUAGAUUUGACAAAGUUUUGUGUUGGCUAUCGCCUGCCUAACACAACCCUCUCCUUCUAAUUUCCACAAUUGACAACAUUGUUUGAAAAUUAACAGACUCGAACACACAUUUAUAAUUGCAUCAUUCAUCAGUUUUAUAUAGCUUUAUCGUAGAAAUUUUUUCUAACGAGUUCAUGACAAAAACAACAAGCAUAACAUAACAAUUAACAACUAACUCAAUUUCCACCAAACAAUUCCUUUAAAUGUGUUUUCCUCAUUUCUAUAUUAUGUUGCAAUUAUGUGACUCAAUUCAACUAAUUCUCAUUGAUAGAUUAUUAUGACAUAUGAUUUCCAUGUAAACUUUUGGUCAUUGUUAUAUUCGUAGUACAACUAUGAUAAAACUAAAUAAACAAAACAUAAAAAACCAAUAUGGAUUUUGUCAAUUAUCAAUAAAAAUAACAUAUAAAAAUACCCAGAUGAAAAGAAAAAAAAAACUGAAAUUUAAAACGAAAUGAAACAGAAAUCUAUGAAACAAGUUGAAAACAGAAAAGGGGUGUUUCUGAAACAUAAAAGUUAAAGGCUUUAAAAAGUGGAGAUAGAAGAAAACAUACUUACUGUGUAUUAGAGUGAAGUUAGAAUGAGAAGGGAUUAUUCUUGUACUUGUUCUUUCACCGAAACCUUUGUUGGAGUUGGAAGCUUAUUAUCAUUUCCGAAGAAAAACAUAGUCAUAGGUUUCAGAAGUGUGUGUGUGUGUGUGUGUUAUGUUCAACUUGAACAUGUGGGGGAUAGGUAUGUCUUUUACUUACCCUUAGUUUUCUAUUCUUUUUUUUUUGACCAAAAAAAAACCUUGUUUUUUAUUCUUAAAAUGUAAUUUUUUUUGUAUUUACCAAAAUAGGCAAAGUUAAAGUUAAAAACAUGUUUAUAACGUUGGGUUGACCUAAUGGUAUUGGUUUGUGAUCUAGAAAGUGUGUUAUUUCUCAAAGUUUCAGAUUCGAUUAUCUUAGAUUUAUGUUUUUACUUCUUGUUUGGGUUUGAACCCAGGAUCUCCAACUCAUUUUUCUUUAGUUCAAACCAGUUGAGCUAGCCAGCUAACGUGACCUCCAACGCUUAAACCUCCGGUUGGCUAAUUUCAUAGGUGUCACAUACAACUUCCUUGUUAGUGGGAUCAUGAUGCAUUACGUUCAACUUCAAUCUCCUUUCAUCGACAUGAUUAGUUGACAAUGUCAUUUUGUGCAUAGCUCCACAGGAGAUUAUGUCUUCUCCCUCAUUUUGUGCAUAAUUUUGAUUCUUCCACUUUAUUUUUUACAAAUUUGAACUCCUUAUAUAUUUAUGUCAUAAUUUUUUUGGUUUCAUAUUAUUUUCAUAAGUUAAUCACCGCACUUUUUUAAUUUACAUUUUUAAUCCUCAAACUACGAGGACUUUGGGCACUUUUUGUCCCUUUUGAGAACCAAAAGAAUGAAAAAUCCUCAAAAUAAAUAGAUCAAAAGUGUACUUAAAACACUGCAAAGAUGAAACUGUAAUAAACAAUGUGUGGUAGCAAUAUUAUCAGAUUCUUUUAUCAUUCCAUAUUGAGACAUCUCUAUAAGCAUGCUAUUGUAUCUUUGUUUAUACCUUUCUUUUCUGUUUUAAAUCUUGUUUCUGGUGCAACAUUUUCAGCACAGCUUCUGCUUCCCAACUUUGUACCCUCUUAAUCUAUUAACAAAAAACUACAUUCCAAAGCAUGUUAGCAAGUAGUUUACUAAAGAAAUUAAUCAAUUGGUAAUCUCUAAGAUUUCAAUUAUAUGAAGAGAAGUCUUCAGUUUCGCAAUCGAAUUUGCUUUAACAUCAAAUUCUCUUUAACGACGAUUGACGAUGAUCUUUGAAGUUGAUUCAAAAUAUAACGUGAAUAACAUAAACAAAAAUGAAGAGAAUCAAACAGGAAUAUACCACUUUUAUUUCUGUUUACAAGAGUCUUUAAUCUUCUUUUUUUCUCAACUCUUCAGCAGAGUUUACUAGAAAGAAAGUCAAUGAACUUACAUCAAGGGUCCGCUUGGAUAAGGCUUAUUUUGAGCUUAUGCAAAUAAAUGAGCUUUUUUCUAUUAUUUAUAAGCCUGUCAAUGUAGUUUAUGAAAAAACUGGUUAUGAAGAUACAAUUUUUGUUAGUGAAAAAUUAUAAAUUAACAUUAAAGCUUAUUUAUUUGCAUAAGCUCAUAAUAAGCCUCAUCCAAACUGGCCAUAAGUAGGGGUGCCUAAAUUUACUAUUAUCUAUAUAAUUUUGACCAUAAAUUAUAUAGAUUAACUUUCUAUUAAAACAGAAAUUAAUCAAAUAUAUUAGACCUACCUGGCCACUACUAUUGACAGAUAAAAACAACACAUCUUUCUAUGCCAUUUCUGAGUAUUGAAUAUUGAUGGAUGCAUGGGUGUAACUAGUAUUUAGAGAAUAUAAAUCUGCAAAUCUGAAAGUUACUGCCAUCUAAUUAGACCACUUCAACAUAGAUAAUCAAUCUAUUUCAUACCAAGCCACAUUGAUUAGCUCUGUUUUCUAUCAUGAAUAUCAAUUUGAAACCAUAUAUAAUAAUCAAUCUAAAAAAAUAUGAAUAGUUAAAGGUAUCACACCAUUACAGAUGUUCGAUGGCAUCCGACAUAAUAAUUGUCUAAACAGCAAUCAGUUGCAUGAUAGUAUGACUGCCAAAUACAGCUAAUCAGAUCAUAAUCUACAUAGAGACAAUAAUAAGUAAAUAUUAAGCUAACCCUUUUGGAAUAGAAUCCCAAAAUAUAAUACAGAUCUUCAAGCCUUUGUCAAGUCCUCAACCAAAAUUACAAAUGACCCUCUCGCUUUUCCACCACGAGUUGAUGAAAACCACUGAGUAGAAAAAAAUCUCAGGACUGAAGCAAGAUUAUCACUAAGUUGCUGAAGACUUAUAGCAAUGAGCAAAGCAAUUUAGUGGCUUGAGGUCAUUCAAAGCUAUUUCUCAUGCUUUUUUUCGAAGAAUCAAUCCGAACUUAAAUCUUUGACCGUCUAAAUUCAAACCAUAUCUCAUAGUGAUUAAACAGAAUACUAUCAUGUGUAUGCUUCCCGAGAUACUCAAGUCCUAAACUCGUAAGCCUCUUUGUGCAUUCCUCUCCUCCCAACCUUGAACAGAACUUUAUAUUAUGUGAUACAUAGAUUCGUCCAUCAUAAGGUUUCAAUUUGGAUGUUAAUCUUUCCAGUCCAAUCCAUACGAGUUUAUCAGGCAUAUGAAGAAAUACAGCACUAGCGUAAAUCAAAUCAUAAGUUACACCAGAACCGAACUUACUGAAAUCCAUGUCCUCGCCCUUAACGAUCAGAGGUCGUUUAUGUAAGAGGCCUUGUGCUGGAAGCUCGUACCUAAAUGCAGCCAUCAGAGAGAGCUCAUCUCUUUCAAGACAAUGGAAGUGUUCAGGGUUUAGAUAUCGAAUGAAAUGCAAACCAACUCGAAGUGUGCCACACCCUAUCUCGAGCACCUGCGAGUCUGGUCUGAGCUGAAUCGCUUGAGCAAGAAACUCGUACACAUCCCUUCCACCUGCCCAAGGUUCACCGUAGUUACUAUGGUGCUCUUCAACUAGAAGUUCUCCGGGGCAUGGAAAUGCGGUGUGGUUAUUUGAGUCAGGUCCCUCGUAGUGUGAUAUGCCCUUAAAUCUGCACUUGGAGGGAUAAAAUAUAAUCAGGAAACCCAAUAGGGAAGUCAUAUAGUAUGAUCAAACAAAAUGAAAUUAGAAAUCAACCAUUUCUAUAAAACUAUUGACUAGACUUGAGUGUGAUCGUGAUGUUUUAAACUUAGAGGAUAAAGAGUUGAAUUAUAACCAAUGAUAUGAAUAAAUGGUUAAAAUUUAACAGUUCAUAGUUAUUAAUACACGUGUAUAUAUUAUUUCACAAUCUCAAUACUUGAUUUUUCAAUGAAUAUUUUACCACAAUCUCAACACUUUGAUUUUUCAAUCAACUCUACUUAUCCUCUGAAGUGUGACCUCUCAAUUUAGAGGAGCCAGAUCCCAUAACCAUAAAAAUCUCUGGUGUGGCUACCAAAACAAUCAGAUCUUUUCUUCGGAAUCUUAGGAAGAGACAGACAAAUAUGGACAGUAAGUAAACGAGUUACGAGUGUUCUAUAGUUAUGAAGACAUCAUAAUCUAAGGCCAAGACCAAAACAUUCUUUAAUACCUUAAUUUAAUCCUAUUAUAAAAAUAUUAUAAAAGCAUUCUUUUGCACUUUUAAACUAUGAUAUACAUGGUGUUUGACUUUGAAAGCCCAUGUGCUUGUUCACAAGUCACAACUGAACAGAUCAGAUCAGUUAUCAUCCGUACAGGCUGUACAGCAAAGGUCAGAAAGAGGGAAGCAUCUAUACUACAAAUUGCAAAUUAAAAAUUGAGAAACAUUCCAACUCAAAAGAAUGUGAAGACAAUGUUUAUACGCAUUUCCACACAAGAUAGACAUAAAGCGAAUAAACUUCAGUGCGAAGCAUAGAAUCAUUUAAACAAUACUAGAGAUACCAAUAAAAACAUUAGCAUGGAAAUUUCCUGGUACUCCCAUUUUCACUCACUCUUUUGCAUCAUCUCUCAUUCUUGCCGACCCCUGCACUAUUUCAGUGCUACCCUACUAUUCAGCAUGCCAAUUUAUUUUCCUACAUUAGUUAAUAUAUCCAGUAUGAUUUAUCGGAACCAAUUCUCCCACCUCACUCCAUAUUCUAUCUCUACCAAAGCAACAACUUCGAUUGCAAUCUACAAAUGGCGAGAUUUUCAGAAAAUCUAAUUCUUAAGAGUGAAGCCACUAAUAAAGUACAUAACAUUAAAACGUGGUAUAACAAAACAGAUAUAUACUGUGUCCACACACACACAUGGAUAAAAUAAAUUGAGAAGACGGGUCUUACUGUCUAAGAUCCUCAAGUUGUUGAGCCCUAGUGCGAGGGUUAAUACCCUUGCGGAGCACAUUUUCUUGCAUAUGAAGUCCAUUUGCUUGUAUUUGACUUUUCACCCAAUCAACAUCCUCUUUCCUUGUUGCUAAAAAACCGUUACCUCUGCUAGAGUCAGACGAACCAACAUCAACGUUCCUAACUUUGUUGGCAGGGGUGGAGGAAGGUUGUGAAGGGCAUGAGCAAGAAGAGAGAGACGACAAAAGGAAAAACAGAAAAACAGCAGCCACUGAGACAGUGAGAACCAGAGCCGGCACUGUCAUCACUACGCCUUUCGACAUAGCCCGAGGAACUGAAAGCGCCAUCAAUGACUACACCUCUUAAUUUCACCCUGUGAAGCUGGCAGAAACAACCAAAUCAACACUAAGCAAACAUCCCAUUGCUAAUCACAAAUAACAUAAACUAGUGAUUUCUUCAAAUUCUACUACUCUAAAAAGCACCGUAAUACUGCUAUUUGACAAUACUGUAAAAUUGAUUUUGCCGUAACAAGAAUUGAUUUUGAGAGAAUUGAUUCCGACCAAAAUUUAGUUGAAAAAGGUAAAGUGAUUUAUGUUUGGAUACAUUCAUGUAAAAGUGCAUUCAACUAUAAAUUUGUGUGUGAAAAUCAAUUCUAGAAUCGAAAGCUACAAAUCUUAGCUUCAAGUAGAAUCAAUUACGCUACAGCACCGCUAUUUAUUAACACUAGCCAUUGCUCAUUUAGAUUGUAGACUUAUAAUAAUCUCAAACUCACUUAACCACAAUACUAAAAAAAAAUAAAAAAAUAAAAAACCAAAUUUGAAUGGCAUCUAUAGAAAUAUAAUGCAUAAAUCUGUAAAAUAGUUAAAAUAAAUCAAACCCCCAAUUGAAAUAUCCAUGUUUAGUAGCUAGAAGAAUGAAUAAUUGAGUGACAUAAUGCACAAAACAAACCUAAUUGUAUAUUAUAAAAGUGACCCAGUUGAAUAAUCAAACUAAAGAGCAAGAAAAUGAAGUAAAAACAAUCAACGGAAUGAAAAAACAAAAACACAAAUGAUGAAAUGCGAAACGAACAGUACCUACAAAUUUCGUAAACAAUCGUACCCGUUUAGAGAGUAGAUCUAGUGAGAGAGAGAGAGAGAGAGAGAGAGAGAGAGACUCCGACAAGAGUCGCCCGGACGGAACGAUUAAUGGGUUAAAGUAGAAAUAUUUAAUUGUAAUUAAUAUAUUUGAAUUUAAUUUUUUUUUAUUUUUGAUUAAUUUAAUACAUAAAAUUUAAGAAAAAAAUUUAACUUUUAGAUUGUUAAACAUAUAUACUCUAAAAACACAAGUUAUCAUGACCCUUAAUUUAUAUAAAUUUAAAGUUAGCAUGAUCCUUAACUUAUAUAGACCUUCGAUUUGAUGUACAAUAUUUUUUUUUAAGUGUGUAUGAAAUAUGAAUUCUGGAAUCAAAUUAUUAAAGUGUGAUAAGUCACAUGGUUAGAUGUAUGUAUAAAUUUUUUUACAUUAAUUAAUGAUAAUAAUAAUGUGUGUAUUAUUAUUAACAAAGUUAUUUUAUGUAGUCAUUUAACAAACAUUAUUUUUAUCAUAAAAUUAAAUAUUUUUGUUAGCAAUCAGAUCCGGUAGAUGAGACGAGAUUCUUCUAAAAAAAACUUGUACGAUGAAUUCUUCCUUGGUUUAGAUUGGUUUGGUUUUCACUCUUUUUCAAAAAAGAAAUCGAACCAAAUAAAUUGGUUUGGUUGAUCGGUUUAUUUGAAAAUAAAAUAAAAUAAAAAAUCAUAUUCUUACAAAUUUGUAUUUCAUGCAUACAACAUACUUCAUACUAAAAUAUUUCAUGGAACUUUGUAUUUCAUAUUGUGUUUUUUCAUUUUCUCUAUUUUGCAAGCAACUUUUAAUAACCAAUAGAUGGACGAUCUCAGCGUUGGUGAAGAAUGAUGGGUUAGGUGUAGUUGUCAACUAGGGUUUCUUUUUUCCAGAAGAAAUGAAAUAGAGUUUGAGUGAUGAGAUGAAAUGAUGAUAGGAGAAAGUGAAUGAAUUAAGGAGUAUUUUAUGUUGGACUUUAAUUUUGGGCCUAAUAAUAAGUGUAUGAGGAGAAAUUAUAUUAGUAAAAUGGGGAGUGUGGUUACCAUCGGUUCGAUUCAUUGGUUCCUUGGAUCUCAAAAUGAAAAACUGAGAACCGAACCAACCAAGAUCGGUUUAGAUUGGUUCGAUUUGGUUUUGAACCGAGCCAAACAAAGUUGGAUACUUUUUCGGUUUGGUUUAAUUUUGACUAUCAGUUUCGUCGGUUUUGUCCGAACCACUUACACCCAUAGGCCUGACGCCAACCCAGUCCGACCCAAGAGAUCCGAUUACAUAAAUGGGUUAGCCCGACCCAACCCAUUUAUAAUAGAGUGGUUGAUACUCUAAAGGUACACAUAGAUACUUAAAAGAUAUUUCGCAAACAUGUAUCCUAGAAAAGAUAAAGAGUAAAAAGGUGUGACGGUAUUGUGAGAAUGCAAGGAAGCUGUAUAUGAUUAAAUCAAAUAUAUGAAGUUGUCUAUUGAUGAACUAAACAUAAAAAUUAUGUUUUUUUUUUUUUUUUUUUAUAAACGUAAUAAGAGAGAGGAUAGUUUUUUUUGGUAGUGGAGGGAGUUUUAUUUUUUUUUUAAUUAUGAUUUUGUUGAUAUCUUAACGUAUCAAUGAAAAUAAAAUAUGAUUUAUACAAAUAUUACACAUUUUUCUAUUUGAUCACAAGUAUUAUAUUUUGUAAAUUGUCAUAUUUUUAGUUAUAUAUUAAUGAAGAAUAAUUGAUGCAUAUUAUAAGUAUUUUAUAUGUAUAUAAAUUUUAUUGUAAAUUUUUUUUAACGUUAUGUUUUCCAUGUUGUUUUAUAAAUUUUAAAAUUUUCGUGUACCCACUUACACAUUUGUACUACGUAUUCAGACUUCAUAGAUUGACGCAGUUCUUGAUGCGCAAUUCCCCACGAUCGUGCCUCCUCUCUCAUCGUCCUCAAUGGUUAGUGGUUUAUGAACAUGGAGUAUGGGUUUUAAGCUUCAUUAUCCAAUCCGAAUAAGCUUUGAUUAAAUAAGAGAUUUCUCAGGCCCACAUUUCAAAUCAGUAGAUUUGAGAAAGAAUCGUCCUCGUAAGCUUGACUCAGUUGAUAUGGACAAUGCAUAAUGUAUGUAAGGUCCGGAGUUCAAACCCCGACUACCACAAAAAAAAAAAGAUAUAAGAAAGAAUCAAUUUGUCAUAGCUUGGUUGUCCUAACCUUCACCUAACUUUCCAUUGGCUAGACAUUCUCAAAGCCCAAGUUACAAUCGCCUAUCUAUCAAUGCCAAUUAACAAAAUAAUUAUUUUUAGCGGAAACAACAUUUAAAAGAAAUUUUGAACAAAACUAUCUAAACAUAAAUCAAUUUAUGUUUAACUCACUUUUAUUGAAAAAUUAAUUUACUCAAAAUCAAUUUUCGCUACCACAAAAUUAAACACACACCUAAUCUCGUUAGAGUUGAUUUCUUUUUAGCUUAUAUGAACUUAUCUACUAACAUAAGCUUAUCACAUUUUCAUAAGUUGUUAAUGACAUUUGUUAAAAAAAAAGAAGGAAAUAUUAACGAGUGCCUCCGGGGUAUUUUUUAAGCACCAAAAGUGGUAAGAUUUUAUGAAAGUUUGUGCAUUGGAUAUUGAAGUAUUUACUUUUUUUAAAGAAUAAUUUCUUUAUUAAGAAUGUUUAAAGAGUGAUACGGAGGCACUCGUUAACAAGACAAAAAAAAAAAAAAAAAAAAUCUUAAAAAGAAGACUUAAAUGCUCAAUUGGUCUCUUAACUUGAUUUCAAGUAUCGGUUUGAUCCCAUAAGUAAUAAAAGGUCCGUUUAAGUCCCUUAACUUUAUUUAAAGUAUCGGUUUGAUCCUUUCUGUUAAUUUAAUCCAAAAAAACGUUAAAUUUUGAUCCUUUAACUUAUUUAAUUAGUAUUAGUUUGAUCCAUUAACUUAUUUAAUCAGUAUUAAUUUUGUCCUUAAUCUUAACUUUUUUUUUGAAUUAAAUUAAUAAAGUUAAGGAUCUAAAGAUACCUUUUAUUAUUUAUGGAACCAAACCGAUAUUAAAAAUGGUUAAGGAACCAAAUCAACAUUUAAUCCUAAAAAAACCAAACACGUUAACAUAGAAAUAGGGUUCUAAUUUGAGCUUGUCACUGUUACUCACCACACGAAGCUUUCACUUUACUGAACCUAACAAGACAACUUCCAUCUUCACUCUUCCAACAAUAAGGUAUCAUUCAAAUCUCAGAUCUCGUUUUCCUCCGAUUCGAUAACGUUGUUUGCUUCUCACACAUGUCCUGUUCUUCAAAAAAAUGUACUUUUUCUCAUUUUCAUUUCAAUUUCAAUUUAGGGUUUCAUAUUGUGAUUAUGAUAAAUUUGAACAUUACAAUUUCUGGGUCUUUAUUUUUUUAUAUCAGAUUCAGAUCAUUAUAUACAUUUCUGUUGAAUUUUUGAAUUUUGUCAUUUUCAUUUCGAUUUAGGGUUUGAUUUUGUGAUGAUGAUUGAUUAGAGCCAUAGAAUUUCUGGGUCUUAUUUUUUAUUUUAUUUUUACAUCAGAUUCAGAUCAAUUAUGUACAUUUAUAUUGAUUUUUGCUUGAAAAUUAGUGUUGAUUUUGUGUUUUCCCCAAAUAUGUUAGGUUAAAGGGUUUAUACAUGGUGGAUUAGUUCUUUUUGCUGAAAAAUGCAGUCUUUCUAGGUAGAAACUAGAAACCACAUUCCCAAUGUUUCAUUUGUGUAUUAUAAUAAUUUUUUUUUUUUUUUUGAGGUUUUAAUUUGAUUUUUUGGAAGAUAUGCUAAAAUGGGAUUUUUGAUGGAUCAAAUUUUUCUAACAUAAGUUUCUUGUUGUGUGGCACUGUGGCUUAGGAUUGCAGUAAAUUUUUGCUUGUAAAGCCUUGCUAUUUUUGGAUUCAAACAAAUCACUUGUAUUAUAUUCAAUUUCAUUUUAUUUGUUGUAGCUUGAAUUUUGUUUUCAUUCGUACAGUAGUACCAUAGUUAAAGUGACAUUGGAUUCAAGAUUAGACCAUGAGGACUUUCUUGGUGUUACUUCCUAGAUUUUUAGAUUUAGAUAGCCGUGUUUUGGGUCAGUUCAUAGUAAAUUUGAAUUGAGUAAAUGUAAGGAGAGAACAAGUAUGACAUGAAGAAUAUAGUUAUCGCUUGUCAAUUAGUAGUUUAGUUAGUUAGUCAUUAGAAAUAUAUUCUUCAUGUAGGCAAUUGAUUCUGUGAACUAGCCCUUCUGGAUUAAAUUACCAAGCAUGACCCUUGUGUUAUAAUUUUUAUGAAAUCAGGGAAUUUAUAUUUUUUCUUGUAAAUUAUAUUCCCAGAGUAAACUGUGCUGGUGUUCUAGAUGUUUAAAUUGCAUUUAGAAUCAUUAGUUUUUGGACAUGCUAUACAUGGAGUGGGGAUUGGAUGGUUGUGGAACUGUAAUUAUAGAAUGUUCUAGGUCUAAGAAGCUUGAGAAGAGAGACAUGGAUUUUCUUUCAUCUAAAGAAAGCAUCUCGAAGAAAACUAUAACUUAUAUGGUAUCAGACACAAAAGAAAGGCUUUGAUUAAUAAGUUUGAACUCAUAUUUCCAGAUUGGUAACUGCUUGCUUACAUGUUAUUUCCAUGAUUACUUAUAUUAUAAUCUGUAUACUUUUAUUUAGAAUGUCGUAAUAUUUGCUUUAGUGAUUAUUUCUGUAUUAUAAAUUAAUAUCUUUACAGCAGCGGAACAUGUUUGGAUGAGUUUUUUUCACGAGAAAGUACCAAAACACUACUUAAAACCCACCAAGCAUGAAACAUCAUCUGAAAUAAUACAAGUAAUUAAUUUGAUUGCUAGAAAUUAAAGUGUGUAACGGCACAUUGCUUUUAGCAAUUGACACUUUUUAUAAGUUGAAUGUGUUUUGAUCAUGCUUUCACUUCCAUGUGCUUGAUCAGUGAUCACACACAUUCUCAAUGUUUUUAUUUUGCAUUUAUCUUGAUUGAACUUUUUUGAACGCUUGCAGGUUCUGUGUUAAUUUUGAUUCUGUUGACCGAAAGUGUGCCCAUCCGUCCCUCCAUUGGCGUUAGCUAUGCUACCCACUGCAGCCAAAGAGACCCAAUUACGUGAGAACAACAGUCAGAAAGUCCACCCUCAACCAAUGGAAGAAGCUACGAACCAGAAUCCAGAAGCUGUGGAAACCCUAGUAUCUAAAAUAUUCACAAAUAUCUCCUCUCUGAAAUCAGCUUAUAUCCAGCUGCAAGCUGCUCAUACUCCCUAUGACCCCGAUAAAAUCCACACUGCUGACAAACAAGUUAUUAGUGAGCUAAAAAAUCUAUCUGAACUUAAGCAUUUCUACAGGGAGAACAACCCAAAGCCAGUGUGUGUUUCUCCUCAAGACUCGCGUUUAGCUGCAGAAAUUCAAGAACAACAGAGCCUCCUGAAAACGUAUGAGGUCAUGGUUAAAAAGUUUCAGUCUGAAAUUCAGAAUAAAGAUUCGGAGAUCCAUCAACUGGAAAAGCAGAUCGAGGAGGCUAGUCAAAAGAGGGCAAAACUAGAAAAGAAUCUGAAGCUUAGAGGUUUGUCGGCUAAAGAAUCAGAAGAUGGAAAUGGGUUUUUCCCUGUGGAUCUAACUCCUGAUCUCUUUACAUCUUCUGUGGAAGCAGCUGCGAAAUCAGUUCAUGAUUUUUCUAAACCUUUGAUCAAUAUGAUGAAAGCAGCUGGGUGGGAUCUUGAUGCUGCUGCCAACUCAAUCGAACCGAAUGUUGUUUAUGCGAAGAGAGCUCAUAAGAAAUAUGCAUUCGAGUCUUACAUAUGCCAAAGAAUGUUUGGUGGCUUCGAGCAAGAAAGCUUCUCUGUCAAAUCAGACAAUAUUACAAUCAAUAAAGAGAGCUUCUUCCACCAAUUUCUCGCUUUAAGGGAGAUCGACCCUUUGGACAUGCUAGGUCAGAAUCCAGAUUCCAUUUUUGGGAAAUUCUGCAGGAGCAAAUACCUAGUGGUAGUUCAUCCAAAGAUGGAGGCGUCGUUUUUUGGAAAUCUAGAUCAGCGAAAUUAUGUGAUGGGUGGAGGACAUCCAAGAACUCCUUUUUACCAAGUUUUUCUAAAACUAGCAAAGUCAAUUUGGCUUUUACACAAAUUGGCUUAUUCUUUUGAGCCAAAUGUCAAGGUAUUUCAGGUUAAAGGAGGGAGCGAGUUCUCCGAUGUUUACAUGGAAAGUGUGAUCAAGAAUCUGAUAAUGGAAGAAAAUGAUGAAAAGCCAAAAGUUGGAUUGAUGGUUAUGCCUGGAUUUUGGAUUGGGGGAAGUGUGAUUCAGAGUAAAGUUUAUCUCUCUGGUAUGAAGGUAGCUGAAUGAUUCUUGAAAACAGGCAUGCUUUUCAGCAAAUCCAAAUCCAUUUGGUUGUAUGCGCGUUGUUUCAUUAUCAUCAUUUUCUUAUCUUUUAAGAUAAUGUCGUCGUCGUUUGUAACUUUUAAGAUCCCUUUUAGUGUUUGUAAGAUUACAUGCUGGAUUCCAGGUCUCUUGUUGCAACUUUAACAGUAUAUGUGGGAGGGAUAUUGGAAGGUGUAUAAAAGUUUUCAUUGCUUUGGGGAAAAAGAGAUUCAUGUGUUCAUUGUUCACAGCAUACUGCAUUAAACCAAUCAAAGAGUGAUACAUUAUCACUUCAAAAUGCAAAACUUGUGUAAAAUAAAUUUGCAGAAAACCAUCAAUUUAGUUCCACUCUAUCAACUAUUUAGUCUUUAACCCUUCCAUUGACACGUGUCCAUUGUGGAUUGGAGCUAUCAUAGUAAACCUUUGAUUAGCAAAACUCAUUCUCAUCUCAUUUGUCCUUCUAUUGAAUUUGAAUAAACACAUGACUCAUAACAUUGAAUAGUUACAUUCUAUUUUUGAACCGUUUUUCUCAUACUUUCCCUCACGUCUCACUUAUUACCCAAGAAAAUCAUGCCUAUCACAUGUUUUGCUCGCAACCAAACAAACACUUCAUGAAAAAACACAUUUUUUGGUUCUCAGUACACAGUUAGUUGGCAUUUUCUUCAUAAAAAUGUGGCCUAAACUCUAGACUUCUAUUGAUAUAUAAAAAUUAGGAGAGGCAAGGAAGGGUAGAGAAGAAUAGUAGCAAAAAGAAUAACACUUGUUCCUUUCAAACACCACUUCACCACCACUUAAACUCCCGACGUUUAGCCACACACUACCACCGUCAAAGAUCCAGCGACCUUCACACGGUCUUUCUUUUUCCUUUGUUCUCUUACUUCUCUUACGUUUGCUUUCUCUGCAUCUUGGGUUUUAUUUUCUACCUAUUAUUUUUUAUAAAAUUAUACAAUUCGUCAAUUUAACUUAAUUGUGAAUGACAUUUACGUCAUUUAUUUUAUUUUAUUUUUUCGAUUUAAUCUUUAUGUUAUACGAUUUCAACAUCGUUAUCCUUUUAUAAAAAAAAAAACUCAAAAAUUCAAACAAAAAUAAAAAAUCAUCAAACUUAUAAGCAAACUCAAAUCUUCAUCAUAAAAACUUAGAACUCAGAUUUCAUUGAAAAAUCUCAUAAAAGAUACAAUAUUGACAUUUUAUAACAUAAAGGAUUAAAUAAAAAAAAAAAUAAAGGACAAAAAAGCCUAUUUUCAUUUUGAGCAUUAAAGUUGUUCAUUGUUUUGAUACCCUAUUUUUAUUUUUAUUAAGUUUUUGGAUCUCUAUUUUGAAAUUCAUCUUCGUAUUCACCUUUUUCAUCUUUUUUAAACUUUUUAUCAUCACUCCAUUUUAAAUUCAAUUUUGAUCAUGUAUCUAAGUUAUUAAUGGCAUAGCAACUCACAUGUAGACAAGUCACUAAUUUAAUAUGUCCACAUGUUCUCUAUCACAUCAUUAAUAACUUAAACACGUAAUCAAAAUUGUCAUCAAUGUGGGGUGGAGAUUAAAAGUAAAAAAAGAAAAAGAGGAUGGAAAAGCUAAAUUUUAAAAUAGAAUUAUUAAAACUUCAUAAAAAUGAAAAUAGUGCAUGAAAAUGCAUUUCAUCUAUUACUUUUUUCAAUUUGGACAAGUAGGGUCUGCCCCUCUUCGACCGUAAGAGGGGUAUUACAAGGGUAGGCUAGCUUUACUUUUUGGAAAAAUAAUUACCUAGAAUUAGCGUUAAGACGAGCGUUAACAUAACAAUUUUAUUGUUUUUAUUGACAUGGAAUAAUAAAUGAUAACAAAUAAUUUUUUUGAGGACAAAUAAUUAAAUAAAACAUGGUAACAUAUAGUGUCAUUUGUUGUUCAUUUAUUUGUCUUUUCAUAUCAUUACAAUUUACAAGGCUUGUGAAUCUUCUGAAAAGCUGUUCAUUAUGUCUAUAUAUACUGUAAAUAAUCAACAAAUUUUUUUUUACAUUUUUUGUAAACUUACCAUUUGAAAGUAAUGUUUGGUAUAGAUUGGUUCAGCCUAUCUGAUUAUUGAGAUUCUUCUCAACGCAGAUAAGCUAUUGUGUUUCCUGACAUGUUCUCUGCUUUUCAAGAUGCUUUUUAGGUUGGGAUUGGCCUAGCUUUUUUUAGGUUUAAAAGUUACUUUUGAAAGUGGAUAAAAAGAACUUUCAAAAUAAAGCUUAAGUUGUUUGGUAUGUUUAAAUAUUUUAGCUUAAAACUGUUUUGAAGUUAAAAACUAAUUAUUUGAUAGAAUUUUUUGUCAAAGCUCUAAUUUUUAAUGUUGCAGUUAACUAUAAAUUUUAAUUUAUUUUAUUAAUAUGUAACAUAAAUAAAAUAUAUUUUAAUUAUAGUGAAUUUUUUGAAAAUAAAAAAUUAAAUAAUUAUUAUAAUUUAAUAAAGUAAUAAUUAUAUUUAAAUUAAAGAAUAUAUAUUGAUCAUACUCUUUCUUCCAUUUUGAUAAAGUUUUUUUUUUUUUUUAUAAUCAGACAAAACGAUAAUAGUCAUUAAAAACUCAUACAUAAAUAAAGGAGUCACAUUUUAAAAGCGGUCACGACGUCCGCUCUAUUAAUUUUAUUAUUUUAUCAACUGAGCUAAUACUUGUUGACUUAAUAAAAUUUAUUUAGUUAGACUUUCUAAUGAAGUUUGUUGUUGUGAUGAUAUUAUCAAUGCUCAUAAAUUUUAAAUUAUAGAUUGAUCAAAAGAAGUUUUGUACUGUAUUAAAAAAAUUAUCUCAUCAAUAUGAUUUUUUAUUUUUGAGGGGCAUCAAAUAUGAAACAUGUUCUACAUUCUUAUUUAUAUAUACAUUCUUAUUUAUAUAGUUGCAAUGCAAUAAUUAUUAUAUGAGAAAUGAUAUUUGUACAACUUUUGUACAACCUUCUCUCUCAUACUCACAUUAUUUUCUUAUUCUCUCUCUUCCUUUUUCUCUCUCUCUCUCUAUUGUUUUUGACCAAUAAGAAGAAAACACAACAAGGUUGUCCCAAAAAUUGUACAAAAAAAGUUGUUCAAAUAUCACUACUCUUAUUAUAUGUAUACAUUUCAAAAAGAAUGAAUGAGCAUUUUAUUUAAGGAAUGAAUGAGCACUUUAUUAUCAACGUUAAAAAAUGAAUUGGUAUUCGCUAGGGAUGGCAUUGGGUAGGGUAUUACAAUGCCCUUCCCUAUACCCGUGUUUGUAAAAUAUAUCUGAGUCUGUAUCCUCGUGAGCAACAAUUUUAGUGUCAUUUCCUAUAUCUUAUGGGUGCCUUAGUCCUCGUACUUGCAUCCAUUAUCCGCACUUUAACUAUGAAAAGACAAUAAAAAUAUCUCAAUUGAACUAAAAUCAUGGUUCAAAAAGUUUCAAAUCAACUCAUAAAAUAGUACGAAUCAUAGUAUUGAACAAAAUAAAAAACAUUCAAAACAUCUUUUAAAAAUUGUAUACCAGUAGGAGGGAUCGAUUAUUGUAUUAAGUAGCUUUUAGGUUUUAACUUAGGCUUAAAUAGCUAAAUAAAUUAAUUAAUUAUACAUCAAGAAUAAAUAAAUUAUUUAUCAUUUUAUAUAAAUAUGUAUAUGUGGGUUGUGGGGCUGGACAAUAUAGUACCCUUAUCCGUAUCUAUACCAAUUUAAAUUUGCGGGUAAUACCCGGACCCAUGAAAGCGAGGUUUUACGCUAACUAUUAUAGAUUUUUUACGGGUAACCAUUGAGCCUUGGUUUAAUUGCCAUCCCUACGCUAGACCAAUUAUUUUAUCAAAAGAAGUAAAAUUGCUUGAAACCAGAAAAAAUAAAAUUAGUUCUUUCUUUAAAAAAAUUUGAAUAGAUAUAUUUAAAAUGUUGGAGCAAAGAAUCGAAGGGAUUUAAAUUGAAAAAGCAGUCGAAUCUUUGUUAAAAGAUCUUUAUUUAUGUAUUUUACACUAGAUAAUUAAGCAACUUUUUUUUUCAAGAGCUUCCAUAAAAUUGUGUUUGGCUAGCAAGCAACUUUUUUAAGUAGAAAAACUUAAAGUAAGUGGGCCAAACAUAGAAUCUUCUCUUCAUUACACUUUCAAAAACAGAAACUCUCAACUUUAACACACUUCUAAUUUUCAAACAAAAGUACUUCAAUCACUGAACUUUACUAUUCCAUUCAUUUUCACACUUCCAUUUUCCAAAUCAUAAACACUUCAAUCUCUCAACUUUCAUCUUCAUUCAACACAACAGUGAUGUAUUUUUCAUCCAUUUCUACUUCUCAUAACAUAACAUUGCUGAUAGAUAUUUUUGUGUUUGUUACUUACAGCUUCAACUUCUUCUCAUUCAUUCAUUCUACACUGCUGCGUUUCUACAUCAUCUACUUGCUUGAGCUUUGAGGUAAACCUAUAACUUGUGUUCCUUUUUUUGUUAUUGUCAGAUUUCAGAAAUUCAUUCAUACUUGUCUUUAGUAACUUUUAUGAAAAUUUACCAACUUUGAUUUUUCUGAAAAGUCAUAUUGUUAACUUGUUAGAUUUCAGAAAUUCAUUUAAACUUGUUUCUUUUUUUCUUUCUUUUAGGUCAACAAGAAAAAAAUGGCUUUUUUAUGAAAAUUUACCAACUUUUAUUUGAUUCUGAGUCUUCUUUUGUUCAACUAUUCAAAUUUAGAUGCAUUUUAAUCAUAAUCAGAACUAGAAUGUUUACAAACCUUGUUUAUCAUGAAGAUAAGAAAAAUUAAAAAUAAAUUUUUUCAUGAUUAAUAAGAAACAAUCCACUCAUAUGGAGGCUCCUCCUACAAAGGAAAAGAUUCAGAGCUAAUGGAGCAAAGUCCAACCAUUUACUUUAGAAACUGAUAAUAUGACUGUGUGUGUUGGAUAUAUAAGAGCACUUUAUCUUUUGAGCUUCUAGUCUCUGAAGAGUAUGCUUCUCAUGGAGAGGCUUUAGAGUUAUCUCUAGACAUGAACUCUCAUAAUAGAGAAUGAUGACAUGACACCUAAGGAAAAGAGGUCCUCUCCUCUCAGUCUGUUAUUUUUAGACAUGAACUCUCAAUCAUUCCCCAUGCCACUCACCUAAUGUCCGUUUAGCUGUUCCUAUAACCCUGUUACAAAUGGAUUUUCAUCAUAAUCAUAAUCACUUUUAAAGAGAUUCACUCAUUUUUUUAUAUGAUAAACCAAGUGUUAACAUUCUAUUUCUUCUUUUGAAUUUCAGCUACCUUCACUCAAGCCUGUAUAAUGGAAAUUCUCACUUCAGUUGGUUCAAAACUAGUUGAGUUUACGGUUGAGCCUAUUCUCAGACAAGCAAGAUAUGUGCUUUUUUUACAAGUGCAAUUUGAAGAAGCUAUCUAAAGAUUUAGAAGAUCUAGAGGCUGCAAGACAAAGAGUCAAUCAUUCCAUUGAAGAAGCUAAGUCAAAUGGCGAAGAAAUUGAGAAUGAUGUCUUAAAUUGGAUGAAAGAAGUGAAUCAAGUCAUUAACAAAGUUAACAUGCUCCACAACGAUCCAAACCAUUCCAAAGCCGGUUGCUAUCGUUGGGACUUCCCUAACUUGAUUUACCAUCGUCAUCAAUUAAGUCGAAGAGCCACCAAAAUCUCUUUAGAUGUUACCCAAAAGCUGCAAAGUGGUAAGUUUGACUGCCGUGUCGGUUACAAUCCUCGUCAUCAAGAGGAUUUUGUAUCCUUUUCCUCACCUUCACCUAAGGAUGUAUUGUUGGCAUCAAGGCGCUCAUUUCUGAAUAAUAUCUUAGAAGCUCUAAAAGACCCUAGUUCACACAUCAUCGGGGUUUAUGGGUUGAGUGGUGUUGGCAAGACCUAUUUACUGGAGGAAGUCGAUCGAUUUGCACAACAGCUGAAGCUUUUUAACUUGGUGGUUUUGGCUAAAACUUCCAAUAUUGAAUUCAUUCUGGAGGUGAUUGCCGAAGGUUUAGGUCUGAAGUUUGAUAUGCAAAGUAUUGAUGCUAGAGCAAUCCGCUUAAAGAAAAAGAUGAAAGGAAAGGAGAAUAUCCUCAUCAUUCUGGACGACAUCUGUGGUACUCUUGAUUUGCAGAAAGUGGGGAUUCCAUUUAGCAUGACAGACAGUCACACGGGGAACCAUAAUAAAAAACCAACCAAUUUCAAAUUGAUGAUGAGUUCAAAAAGUAAAGAGAAUUUAUUGAAAAUGGGCGCUCCGGAAAAUUUCACUUUCAGACUUGAACCGCUUGAUGACACGGAAUCUAUUGACUUGUUUCAAUUUAUGGUUGUAGAUGUGGUUAGAGAUCAUCGGAUAAAAAGUUUAGCACCUCAAUUAGCAUUGAAGUGUGCAGGUUUGCCUCUAGCCAUUACAACGGUCGCACGUGCAUUAGUAAACAAAGAUAUUAACUAUUGGGAAAAUGCGGUACGACAACUAGAAGAUGUUGGUCCAGAGGAGAUUGGUGCUUCAGUUUAUAUUCCUUUGGAGUUGAGUUACAACUCAUUAGAGUGCGACGAAGCGAGGACACUCCUCUUACUCAUCGCGGUAUUGGGAUUUCAAAAAGUGGAGUUCUAUUUAGAAGUGGUAAUGGGCUUAGGCGUGUUGAAAAAAAUAUAAACUGUGAGAGAUGGAAGACACCGCCUACAUGUAUUGGUUGGUUAUUUGAAAACAUCAUGUCUAUUGAGAGAAUCUGGUAAAUGUGAGAUAAUUGAAAUGCAUAAUAUGGUUAGGGAAGUAGCUCUCAACAUUGCAUCAAAAGACAAACAUGUCUUUGUGAAACGGCCGUUCUCAAAUGAUUCUAUGAGAAACUGCACAAACGAUUCUUUCAGAAACUGCUCGCAAAUUAUAUUGAAUUGUGACAUCACCUUACUUCCUCAGAGGUUAGACUGCCCCAAUCUAGAGCUUUUGGUGCUCAGCAAUUCAAAGUUUCUUUUAGAAAUUCCAGAUAAUUUCUUUGAGGGGAUGGUAAAACUGAAAGUGUUGCAUUUAACCAAAUUCAAUUUGUGCCAAUUACCAUCUUCUCUUUGCUGCCUUUCAGAUCUUAGGUCAUUGUCAUUGUUUUUAUGUGUUUUGGAAAAUAUGGAGGGAAUAGGAGCUUUGACAAAUUUACAAUUUCUUAACUUCUUUGGUUCUUCACUUAUCUCAUUGCCAAGCCAAAUAGGGGAGUUGAUUCACCUUAAAACACUUGAUUGUAACCAAACUGGACUCCAAGAGAUCCCACCCAAUAUUUUAUCAUGCUUGACUGAACUGGAGGAGUUGAAGUGCAGGAACUUCAUUAUAUGGGAAUCCAAUGGUACAGCUUCUGAGAUGGAAAGUCCUGAUUUGAGGCAAUUGUCAAACCUUGCUGAGUUGAGGCAAUUGUCAAAGUUGACAACUCUUGAGUUAAUGGUUGGUACUGAUGAUUUUCCACUAGAUUUGCAAUGGAUGUUUAAGAAAUUGGAAAGAUUCAAAAUUCAUUUUUGCUAUCAUCUAAUGGAAUUUUAUUCUGAAACCUUGAAUACAUUGCACAUCUGUUGUACUAAUGCACACAUUGAGGAACUAAUGAAAAGAGCUGAAGCUUUAUUUUUAAAUCACUCCUCCUCAAUGGCCCUUGAGAAUGUUAAUCAACUCAAUAGUGACGGAUUUCCUUUGCUGGAAGUUCUUCGCAUCAGGUUUGAUAGUUCAUUGAAACGCAUAGUUGACACACAUUUGGGCCAGAUUUUCUUUCCCAACUUGGAAAAGUUGGAAAUUUUCGGUCUAUCGAUGUUGGAGGAGAUAUGUCGUGGUCCCGUUGCACCUAAUUCUUUUCGAAAGCUCACCACUAUAGAGGUCAUCAAUUGUUUUAAAUUGAAACACCUUCUAUCUCCAUCAUUGAUCAAGGAGCUUUCACAACUUGUGAAGAUCCAUGUCUCUGGAUGCGGUUCUCUGGAAGGCAUUGUAUUCUUAAAUGACAAUUAUGCAAGUGUAGAUAAUGAAAUUAUCGAGUUUGUUUCGUUGAAGACAUUGGAAUUGGAUCAUUUACAUAAGCUUGAUAAUUUCUGCUAUUAUAAUUCGGGGUCUUCUGAGAUAACUGAGUAUCAAGGGUUGGAGCCUUUAAGUUCUGCACUGUUUAACAGCUCUCAGGUUUGUUUUUUAUUUUCAUUUUAACCUUUAUACUAAAAUAAAUGAUAGGAUUUUAAUUUAAUGACAUGCAGUAUACACCAACUAAUUUCAAUAUUUAAUGUAGCAGCAAUGUAUGAUGAGAAUUAUCUACUUUAUAUAUAUGUGAUCAUCGGCUAUAAUCUUAGAAGGUUACAAAUGAUUAUAGGAGUGGGUCAGUUUGGCAAAAUAAAAAACUGAAAGUAAUAAAACUAGAACUCAGAGUUGAAAAAUAAUUGACGGAAGGUUCACCGACCUAGACUCUGAGGAGUGAGUCCAAUUAUAUAAUAUAAUAAGGUAAAAGAGUAAGUAUUCAUACAUUCACAAAGGUUCAAAUAUGGGUCAUUGUAAAAAUUCAUCAAUGUUUUAUUACUUUUAAAUUUUCUGAUUGGAUCCUUGUAUGUCUCAGUGAGAAACUGAAUCUCCGGGAUUAGGGAUUUAGAGUUCCUCUGUUCUUGCCAAGUUUGAGUGAAUGAUUUUGUGGCUCUUUAUUUAGUGAAACAGUUCGCGGAACCGAACUGUACUGUGUAACAGUUUGGUUAGUGAAUUUUUUUCUAAAAAUCUGGUUUGGUUCAAGUCUUGAACUUCAAGAACUUCGAUCACAAAUUCAAUUAUUUAAACACCAAUAUACAGUAUAAUUUGGUAACUAUUUUUUUUUACAUAUACUAGUAUAAAAACUUUUUCCCCCUUGUGAAUUUUUAUAUAAGUAGUGUGAUAAAAUGCCCAGAAGGCAUGUAUGGAUUUUGGAUGAGUGAUGCAUCUCCAAAGUUAUAAUGCUUGUCAUAAUAAACCUUUAAUCAUGAUUUUAAUUAACAUGUUUUUAUGUAGGUUGCAUUUCCUAAUUUGCAUUCCCUUACAUUGAGCAAACUAGAUGUUGAAAAUUUUUGGGAUGACAAUCAACAUAUUACUAUGUUCAACUUGAAAACUUUGAUCGUGCGGGACUGUGAAAAUAUUAAGUACUUAUUUUUGUCUACCAUGGUUGGAAGUUUUAAAAACCUUAGACAACUGGAAAUUAAGAACUGUCGUUCAAUGGAGGAGAUAAUAGCUAAAGAAAAGGCAAACAGUGAUGUUACUGCAUUGGAAGAGGUAUGGUGAUCUUACUUUAUGGAAGUUCAUGUUUUGAUUGUAUUUUAAAUAAAUAUUUGAUAUAAUAUUCAUGAUUUCAUAAAAUGUGAAUUAUAGGUUCUAUUUUCCGAAUUGAAGUCUGUUACAUUAACAGACAUGAAAAACUUGAAGACAAUAUGGCACUUCCAAUUUGACAAGGUGGAGAGCUUGGCGGUAAAAAAUUGUGAAUCCCUCGUGGUGGUUUUUCCUUCUUCAACACAAAAUAGAAUUUGCAAUUUGGAGCGGUUAAAGAUUACAGAUUGUCCUUUAGUGGAAGAGAUAUUCAAAUUGACUCCGAGUGACCAAAGGCGUAUAGAAGACACGACUCAGUUGAAAUAUGUUUUUUUAGAAACAUUACCAAAGCUAAAAAAGAUAUGGAGUAUGGAUCCUAAUGGAGUUCUGAAUUUUCAUGAUCUAGAAGAACUACAUAUACAUCAGUGUGGAAGCUUGGAGCAUGUAUUUCCUCUUUCUGUAGUCAUUUGCUGCUCCAAGCUCAACCAUCUUUGUAUAGGUGAUUGCAAGGAAAUUGUUGCAGUUAUAGAGAAUGAAGAAUUUAUAUUUAUAACUCAACAAUUUGAAUUGAAUGCCUUGAACACUCUAACUUUUAAGGACUUACCGAAGCUCAAAGGCUUUUAUGAAGGAAAAUAUACUCUUGCAUGUCCAUCUUUGGGAGUGAUGACUGUUUUAGGCUGUCCUAGUUUGACUGUAUUUAAAACUCAGGAGCCUCUGAUGCUGCUUCAAGAACCACUUUUCGUUGUUGAAGAGGUAUGUAUCAUAAAUAUUAACAUAUGAUAACAAUUUUCUUGAAAAGAACACAUGUUUAGGGCUUUGUAUUUUAUAAUGAAAUACCGAACAAUUAUAGUUGUAUUCAAUUGUUUAAUUUCGAACGAUUUAAAACAGUCUGCGAGCAAUGGAAGAAAGUUUCACAUUGAAAAUUGAAUGAGUCAAUUUAUCAGAUAUUUUUCACAUGUAAACCUUCAUCAAAUUGAAACUUAUUUUAAAAGUUUCUUUAAAACCUAACAUUUAAUUAUAACUGUAAUGGAUAUUUGGAUUUAAAAGAAAUUGAGUAAAGUGCGGAGGUAAUGGUAAAAAAGAAGUUUCAAACAUAUUUGACUGAAAAAAUAACAUUCAUUGAGUUAAUAUUAAAUACUCAGUUUUUUUAAAUUGUGCUUUAUGUAUGUUUUAGGUGAUUCCGCAUCUGGAGAGGUUAGACAUAAUGAUAAAGGAUGCUAACUUGAUGAUAUCGCAAACCGAAAACAUUGGUUCUCUUGUCACCAAUUUGAAACAUAUAGGCUUGUAUAGGUCUGAGAAUGAAGAGGAGGCAUUUCCUCGUGAGCUUCUCCAAAGUGCAUGUAGUCUUGAAUCAUGUUCCUUUGAGAAAAUAUUCCUAGAUGACAGACUAUUAAAUGAGGAGAUUCGGCUAAAAAGUUUGAAGCUUUCCCAUUUACCUAAAAUAUAUGAAGGACCCCACCUACUUCUUGAGUUUAUUGGACACCUCGCAGUUGAAUAUUGUCCUAGUCUUACAAACUUGAUUCCUUCAUGUGCUUCUUUUAAUAGCUUAAUAUCUUUGGAGAUUACCAACUGCAAUGGACUGAUAAGUUUAAUUACAUCUUCCAUGGGGAAAAGUCUUGGCAAGCUUGAAGUGAUGAAGGUGAAAGGUUGUAACUCACUUGAAGAAAUCAUUACAGUAGAGAACAAUGUUGAUGUUGGAUUACUACUUAAUUUGGAAGUAUUGGUGUUGGAUAGUUUGCCAAACCUUAACAAGUUUUCUAGCUCUAAGUCCCGCAUUUACCUUCCAUUGUUGGUGGAGGUAGAGGUAAGUGAAUGUCCUCUCCUCAAGAUUUUCUCCGAGGGAAUGCUGAGCACUCCCAAUCUUUGGGACAUCAAAAGAGGAGAGUUGUAUUACCCUUUGGUUGGGAGCCUAAACAAUACAAUAGGGGAUAUUUUUAUAUUUGAGGUAUGCAUCAAUUUAGAAACUGAUUUCUUAUUAACAAUAUGUUUAUUCUUUUUCAUUAUUAGCUAAAAGAAAAAUAUUCAGACAGAAAAUUAUUUAUUUUUAUUUCAAUCUAAAUGUGUCUAAAAAUCAUUUAUGUUGAGUACUUUAAAAAUAAAAUUGUGAAUCUCUUGAGCAAGCAUUAUUAAAUAGUUAUUUACAUGCUUAUUUUUAACUAGUUCUAUCACUUUGUCAACAGGAAUUUUGUCGUUCAGAGGAACGUCGUUUACGUUCUGAUGAGCGCUGAGUCCUUCACAUUUGUAAUGUGAAGCCUUCCGAGGUGAGACUUGUCAUUUAAGUCACAAGUGAUGAAGAGUUUGAUGCUAUUGAAAUAUUAUCCUCUUAUAUAAACAUUCUUUUUUAGUAGAAAAUGUUUUUCUCACAGUUGUGUUAUUUUAAAACUUGGAAUUUUUUAUUUUAUUUUUUCUUCUCCAGGGGAUGAGGAGGAAAAUAAACCCCGGAAGGAUAGUAACAAUCCUCACUACCCUAAAACCUCUCUCGUUGCUGCAUAUCCAGAAUCAAAGAAAGUUAGUCUUUUGUCCAUUGUUCGAUCAAUGUAUGGUAUUUUUUUUUUAGGCCGGGUAUCUUUUACGCUAAUUAGUUCUUCCACUGGGUUGAGGAAUUUGGAGAAUAAUCAGUUCAAGAGAGCCAACACUUGUGGUUGUGAUAGCUUUGAGGUCAAUGGCUGAUAAUAAUGGUGCCGUUGAAUUGGAAGAGUUUGUUUUAAGUGACAUAAGACCCAUCUCUUGAGAGAAUUGUCGGAAACUGCACGGCAGCAGCAAAAUGAAUCUAGUCUCUAGACGGUAAUACAAAUUAAAAUUAGCAAUUAAUUGCUAACAGUAGUGCGAAUGUGAAUGGUGAUAUGGCUGCUGUGAUGGGUAGGCCAGUUUUGAGGCCCAUGUCUGAUAUGGUGACACUCACAUGUGAGGGUUACGACCAAUGUUUUCUAUCGAUGCAUAGACUCCCACUGGGGAAAAAUGCAUCAGGGAGUAGGAUCUUGAUGCUUUACAGAAUAAGAAAUUGUUUAGAGAGAUGCAAAAAUCUAAAACCGGUGAGGAGCUUUUGGAUCUAAUUCAUCUGGCAGACCGCAAGGGAGACAGCUGUAGCUGCUAAGGUUCAAACUCAGUGCUUACUUUAAUAGGUAAUACACUCAAAUUCCACUUGUGAUUAUUCAUAGAUUUUAUUACACUAUGACAUUUAUAUAUUUUAAUCUAAUUCAGCUUGUUUACAAUGUGUUCUUUCAGUUCAAAACUAAAGAUGGAUAUCAGGUGAGGCAACACUGUGACUGACUGAUGAAAGAAGUUUAUCGACGCCGGACCGGUUCCUUUGUAGCAUGUGAUAAGGUUAAUGACAAAACAAUAUUUUAUUGGCUUGUUAUUUCGUUUCUCUAGUUUCAUUUCUAACUUAUUCACUAUGUAUUGGUUUGAGCUGGCAUACUAAGACAUGUGGUUUUCAACUAACUAAACUUUGAAAUUUGGUACGAUCAUUUCUAUUUAGCCUUUUCUGAUGUGCAUUUUUCUUAUCCUUUUCUUGGCAGGUUCAUUUUAGAUGAAUCAUUUCUCUUUAUACCAACAUUAAUUUAGGAGACUUCUCUUUUAAUGAUACUGGCCGUCACAUGAAGGUAAGGUUUUUACCUCUGAAAUUUUAUUUAUGUCGACUUUUUUGUUCUUCCAUUUCGGUUCUGUUUGUGAUAGGUUUCAGCUGUGCUCUUUUUUUUUUUUUUUUUUUUUUUUUUUAGAAUGGACGAAUUAGGUAAGUUUGGAGUAAUAAUGGCUGAUCCACCAUGGGACAUUCACAUUGAGCUGCCUAUGGAACAAUUGCCGAUGAUGAAAUGCGCACUCCUAAUGUCCCUGCUGUGCAAACUCCUAAUGACACUGAUGUUAUUGUUGCUGAAUUCCGGGAAACAAUCAAUCAACAUAUAUACCGGUAACAACCAUAAUCAUGACGCUUAAUCCUAUCUCUUGAAAAUCAAAGACUACUGAGAUGAGUUGGUGCUGAAAAGGUAGAGAAAAAGCACGACAUGAAGUUCACAGUUCCUAUUGUGCUCUUUCCUUUUCUCUAUUGUCAUGUGCUCAUAAAAUAGCAUAGCAGAUUAGAAGUUACUUUGACCAACUCUCACCCUCUAUUGGAGGCUCUAGAUGAGAUGUAUUGUACUCAAAAUUAAAGUUGCUAACGAACAUUAAUCUUAGAUGGCAUGGCAAACAAACGGGUAACACAACAAAUAAAAAAUAUCACUUAAGAAACAAUUCUUAACUUGUGUAACUAAUAUUACAGACAGGUUUGUUUUGUUUGAACUCAGUCGCUGGCAGCUUAGAGAAAUGUCUUUCUUAGCUUGUCGGGUUGUAUUUUGAAGCGGCAUAAAAAUUCAAGGAUUGCUCCAAAAUAACGAAGUCACAAAUGUUUAUUAAAUAGGAAAAACAUUGAAAAAACCAUUUCAAACAAAAAAAAUGUCUUUGAAACUAUAUUUUAGGUUCAGGAGUCGGCUAUGCGAAGGAAAUGUAUUAGCAUCCUAUGACAUCCAUUCAAAACGGUUACCUCUAAUUAAUCAUGCAAGAUUUGUUAACUUCUAAAAUAUUGAUUUCUCCUUAUUAUUAAAUGCAAAUUGAAAUUAAGUUUUUAAAUAUAAAAUACAAUGUGCUUAAAUAGAAGAGACAAAAAUGGUUUUGUUAUUAUUGUGUUUGACAAGAAUUUGAUCUUGCUCCUACGCAUUUCCUGGUGCGAUAGAGAGAAUUCAAAGCUACAUAGUUCUAGGUAGAAAAUGUUUCUUUGUUGGUUGAUUUUAAAGAAAAUGUUUUUGUUGUGGCAAGCACGAGUAAAAAAAAAAGAUUGCGAACAAUUGAUUAUGAUCAGUUUGAUUGGUUUUAUAAACGAGUUUGAAAACGAAAGUUGUACAAUUUAUGUUCUGAGAACUCAAGGAUUACAGAGAUCUCCAUCCAAAUAACCGUCUUAGAACGAUUUGAUUCGGAAGUGAGUUUGAGAACAAUCAAGUCGUACAACUUGUGUUCCUGGAGGAUUAAAGAGAUAUACAUUCAAUUAAUCCUAUUAAGAUGAUUUAUUUGUUAUUAAAAAUUAUUCUGAAAUUGAGCAUUCAAAACGAUCAAGUUGUGCAACUUGUGUUCCGAAAACUCAAUGAUUAAAGAGGUUAUUUGAAAUAUUAAUGAUUAAAGAGAUGUACAUCUAAUUAACCCCCCUAUAAGAAAUUAAAAUAUUUAAUGUUUUUGGAUUACUUUACUAAAGCGCAAUAAAAAUAUCAAAACUUAAAUAUGUUAAAUGUUGUUUAGAUGGGAAUUUGCAACAGAUAAGAUGGAUUGACAUUGCUGGGGCCUGGGAUCAUUUCGGUCCAAUCCAAACGCCUAACUCAAAUGAACAAGCAUCUUACAAUAAUAAUAAGGAAUAAUAGAUUUAUUCAUGUAAAAACUAGGCAUAAUAGAUCUAGGUACUGGCUUUGUCCCCGUAAACUUCUCAGUUGGUAAGGACAAUACAUAAAAGAUGCAAGAUCGGGGGUUCGAAUCCCGGACACACCCAAAAAAGAUCUAGGCACUGGCUUUGUGAUGGUGAAGUUAGGGUGAAUGAAGGUUGGUUUGUACUACUAGCUUUGUGUGAUUUGCUUAGUAUGUUGAGAAUGGAGGUGAUAACUUGGCUCUCCAUAUUUUUUUGACUCUCUUUUCUUUUGUAUUAGUUUUCACUUUCGGUCCUCUCUUGUUUGCUUUUGUUUGGAUUUUCAGCCUCCCUUAUUUAUAGUCAAGAAUUAGGGUUAGCAAGACUAUUGAGAUUGUGACAUGUGACUAAGAUUUGCUCAAUAUGAAAGGAUUCAAAAGCAAAGAGGAAAAGAAGGGUUGUAUCAUACUGGAAGAGGAAGGAUUUGUUGCUGUUGCUCUGCCAUGCUGUGCUAGUGCUACUGCUCAGUUUUUUAUUUUAGUUUUUAAGUUAUAUAUAUCAUUUAUUUUGUUUGAUGCAACCAAAUAUAAUUGGAUUCCUAUGUAAUCGGCUGCACUUAAGAAAAUAACUCUUAUUUUUAUGUAUUUUUUUCCUUAGAUUUUUAUGAUUUAAUAUGGUAUGAUGAUAAGAUAUGAUAACAAGGUUUCUGAACAUUGUUUUGAUUAUGAUUUAAACCCACACUUUCCAGGUUUAACAAGUAGCACUCAUCUUCUUCAAAAAAAACAAGUAGCACUCAUAAAUCAUGGUAUGAAUGUGAAGAAAAAACAAUGAUAUAAUUACUCUUUUUGAAAUGCUAUCCAUUUUAUUUAUAUUUUAAAACUAUUUAUCAUCCUAGUCAACAAUUAAUUGUUCAUAAAUAGAACUUAAGUCACAUAAUGGUUAAAUAAAGCAGAGAGAUCUAAACAGUUAAGCAAUCAUCAUAUAUACCGAAAACAACCAUAAUCCUAUCUCUUGAAAAUGAAAGAUUACUGUGAAAAGGUAGAGAAAGAGCAGAAUAUGAUGCUCACGGUUCCUAUUGCGCUAUUCCCUUUCGCUAUUGUUAUCUGCUCACAAAAUAGCAUAACUUUGACUAACCCUCACCCUCUACUGAAGGCUCUAGAUGAGAUGUAUUGUGCUCAAAAUCAAAGUUGCUAACGAACAUUAAUCUUAGAUGGCAUGGCAAACAAACAGGUAGCAAUACAAAUAAAAAAUACCACUUCAAAAAAAAUGAUCACUAUUAAAAAUCAAUCACUUUUUAAAAAACUACCAGAGUCCUUAAAAAAAAAAAUUACCAGAGAAAAGUUACUAAAUCACUUGUUUAAAAGAAAUUUAAAAUAAUCUAGAACGAACAAACAAACAAAAGGGUAGCACUACAAAAAAUAUUGCAGACAGCAUUCCAAAAAAUUAUGAUGUGAAGAAACCAAGGGAACAUAAAGGGGUAAUAUAAUAGUAAAAUUUGGUUUGAUUUAAAUUAUAUGAAAACUCCAAUCAAGUAAAAGCAACAAAGCUAAGGAAAGAGAGCAUAAUUGGAGUAGUUUUUUAGUUUCAAUCUAGAGAAAUAUAUAAAAGGAGAAACACAAUAGAGAGGUUAAGUCAAUAACCGAAGGCCAUUGAACUCAAUCGUGAAAUAAAAGAAAAUCAUUAAAUAGCAUAAGAAUCACAAGCCAGUUGCCUAUAUUUUAAAAUAAAAGAAAGAAAAGAUGGUCCUUCAAAAAAAAAAAUGGUAAAAAUAAAAAAAAGGAAAAGAGGAAACUCUGGAUAAGAGGAAAAAAAUCCAAGAGAAAGCAAGUGGUGGUGUAUUAAGAGGAGCAAGUUUUUUUUUGCCACUCUUCUUCUCCUCUACCUUGUUAAGUACUUUAAAAAUAAAAUAUUGAGGAACGUCAUUUACAUGCUUAUUUUUAACUAGUUCUAUCACUUUGUCAACAGGAAAUUCGUCAACUCCGAGUCUAUGUCGCUCAACCUUCCUACCAUUUAUUUCUCAACUCCGAGUUCUAUUUUUAUUACUUUCAGUUUUAUAUUUUGCCAAACUGACAGACUCCUAUAUAUAAUCAUUUGGUACUUUCCAAGAUUACAGCUGAUGUUGACAUAUUUUCAAAGUAGAUAUUUCUCAUCCUACAUUGCUGCUAGCUUAAAUAUCUAUGUUAAAAAUGUUAAGUUGCAAAAUUUAUCAUUUUAUCGACAAAUUGGUUGGUGUAUGUCAUAAAUUUAAAAUCCUAUAUUUUCUUUAAUAUAAGGUUAAAAUAAAAAUAAAGAACAAAAUAGUAGAAAUUAUAAAAUUUGUGCAAAUGGUUCAACGAAACAAACUUAAGAAUUUCACUAUCUACACUUGCAUACUUGUCAGUUAACAAUACAAUGCCUUCAAGAGCACUACAACCAACAACAGAUGGAUCUCCACAAUCUGUGACUUUUAUGAGUGUGAGCUUUCUAAAUGAAUUAGGUGCAAGUGGACCAGGACAGAUCUCCUCCAACUGUAUAGCUUCUUAAAUUUCCAACUCUUCCAAGAUGGGAUAGGAAACUUGGCCAAAAUGUCUUCCAUAGAAUCAACAUGUGUUUCCGUGUUGAAUAUAACUUGAAACAAAGAGUUUUCAGUAAGUUAAAUCCUUCACCGUGGAGUUUAUGAACAUUCUCGACAUUAAUUCCAUCAAGUAAAAGCAAGGCUUCAGCUCUUUUUAUUAGAUCCUCCAAGAGAACAAGGUUACCAUUGAGUGUCAAUGUAUUCAAGGUUCCAAAAUCAAAAUUGUUGCUAUAAUUUUCAAUCUCAAAUUUCUCCAACUUCUUAAACAUCAAUUGCCAAUCUCUUGAAAAAUAAUUAAUAUGAACUUUUAACUCGAGAGAUGCCAACUUGGACAAUUGCCCAAAUUCAGCGUUUUCUUUCUCAAAAUUACACUCUUAAAUCCCCACUCAAAGAGGCUACUGUUAUUCAACUCCUCCAAUUCAGUCAUGCUUGAUAAGAUAUUAGCUAGGUGGGAUCUUUUGUAGUCGAUAUCGAUUGCAAUCAAGUGUGUUGUGUCAGGUUAAUGCCCCCUAUUUUUGGCUUGACAAUGUGAUCAUUUUUUAAGAAGUUAAGAAAUUUAAUUUGUCAAAGAUUAUAUUCCAUCCAUGUUUUCCACAACAUAGACACAAAGACGUUGACUUUCGAUAGGAACGAAAGAGAAGUAGAAAAAUUUGUAUAGCUUGAAUUUGGUUAAACACGACACUUUUAGUUUUAGUAUUCCCUCAAAUAAAAUAUUUGAAAUUUCUAGAAAUAUAAUAUAAUUUCUUUCUGAACACAAAAAGCUCCAACUAUGGGCCUCUAAAUUCUAAGGAAGCACAAUGAUAUUUCUGUUAUUCAAGAUGACGUUCAAGGAGUUUUUCAGAGAAUCAAUUGUCUACCAUUUCACAAAGACAUGUUUGCCUUUACAUGCAAAUAAAAACAAACAUGUCUUUGUGAAAUGACACAAAAUGAUUAUCUGAGAAACUGCUCACAAAUCAGCUCUUCCAAUUCGGUCAAGCUUGAUAUAAUAUUGGUGGGAUCUCUUAUAGUUGAUAUUGAUUACAAUCAAGCGUGUUAAGUUGAGUUAAUGCCCCUAUUUUUGGCUUGACAAUGUUAUAUAUCAUCGAAGACCUAACGAAGUUAAGAACUAUAAAUUUGUCUAAACUCCUAUUUCAUCCUUGUUUUCCAAAACACAGACACAAAUGACCUUCCGAUGUGGACCAAAGAGAAUUGAGAAAACUUGCAUUGGUCGGUUAAACACAAUACUUUUAGUCUUAACAUCCCCUCAAAAAAAGUAUUUGGAAUUUCUAGAAAUAGAGUAUAGUUUCUGAACACAAAAAGCUCCAAACAUUGGCGGUCUAAAUUCUGAGGAAGCACAGUGAUAUGUCAGUUAUUCAAGAUGACUUUGUAGGAUUUUAUCAGAAAAUCAUGAUUUGACCAUUUUACAAAGACAUGUUUGUCUUUGCAUGCAAGCAAAUAAAGACAAACAUGUCUUCGUGAAAUGGCCACUAAUGAUUCACCAAGAAACCGCUUGCAAAUCAUCUUCAAUAAAUGUGAUAUCAUACUAUGUUUCUUCAGAAUCUAGACUACCCUUUUUUGGAGCAUUAUGUGUUCAACAAUUCUGAUUUUUUUUUUUUAAAUUCUAAAUACUUUAUUUGAGGGGAUUUUAAAACUAAAAGUGUUGUGUUUAACCAAAUUCAAUUCUUGUCGAUUUCCCAGUUCUCUUCUGUCCAUAUAAGAACGUUAUUGUCCUCGUUUCUACGUGUUUUGGAAAAUAUGGAUGGAACACGAGUUUUGAAAAAUUUACAAUUUCUUAGCUUAUUUAAGAGUAAAGCUUUCGAGAACGAAAAUGCUAAGCUUGUUGAGUUUGAGCAGUUGUCCAAGUUGACAGCUCGAGUUUAAAGUUCAGAUUGAUGAUUUUUCAAGAGACUUGCAAGUGAUAUUUAAGAAGUUAGAGAAUUUCAAAAUUCAAAUUGAAAGUUAUAGUAACAAACUUUAUUUUGGAACCUUGAAUUCAUUGACAAUUAAUAUAUCGUAAUGGUGAAAAUUGAGGGGAGGAACUAAUAAAAAGAGUUGAAGCAUUGAUCUUACUUGAUGUAAUUAACGUCGAGAAUGUCCAUGAAUUCAAUGGUGAAGGAUUUCCAUCACUGAAAAUUCUGUGUCAAGUUAGAUUCGACGGUGGAACACAUGAUAGUUGACUUUAUAUGGAAAGGAGUUUGGGUCAGCUUUCCUUUCCCAACUGUAUACAGUUGGAAGAGAUAGAUUAUACUGGACUGUAUAUCUAAAUGAGAUACAAUUGGAAAGCUCACCAUCAUAAAUGAGAAAAUAUGUUGCUUGAUAAUAGGCUCAAUAGUUAACUUUGUUGGUUUUGAACCAACAGAAUUGAGGAUAUACAUUAUACUGAGGUUGAGUGAAUCUUUCUGAAAUUCAAAAGAAGAAAUAGAAUGAUAAAUAUAAAUUAUUGAUCAAAAUCAUAUAAAAAAAUAAGGGAAAUUAGAUUAAAUGUGAUUAAAACCAAAUGUUGCAGAUGUGUAAACAAAAUAACACAACACACAGGGGAAACUAGAGAUAACGAUUUGAUCCACUAAAGAAGAAAGACUUCUAAAUAUUGUUUCGAUUAUGAUUAAAACUCACACAUUCCAAGUUUUCUAAAAAUUGUUUUCCUAACUAGGAAAAAAAUUACUUUUUUUUUUCAUAACGGAAUCAAUAUAAAGAAGAAAGAAAGAAAAAAAAGGUGAUAUGAUAUGAUAACAAGGUUUCUAAACAUUAUUUUGAUUAUGAUUUAAAUACACACAUUUCAAGUUUAACAUUGAGCACUCAUAAAUCAUGUUAUGAAUGUGAAGAAACAAUGAUAUAAUUGCUCUUUUUGAAAUACUAUCCAUUUUAUUUAUAUUUAGAACUAUUUAUCAUCUUAGUCAAUAAAUAAUUGUUAAUCAGUAGAACUUAAGUCACAUUGUUGCGAAUUCGAUGAAAAUCACACCAAUAACAACUUGAUGUGUGGAGCAAGGGAUAAUCAAGCAACUAAAACAAAGUGUAUGGAACAAUUAAAUACAAGCCAAAAGUAGAAAAACAACGGCGAGAAGAACACAAAGAAGAGAAGAACACAAAAGAAUUUGUUGACCCAGUUCGGUCCAAAUUGACCUAGUCUGGGGGAGAGAGCAGCCCUCCGAUCCACUAUAUGAUGAGUAACGUUACAAAAGAGAAAUCAAUGGGUUACAAGAAUAAGUCUCCCGCCUAAUUCUACCCAAAGUCCCAGCCUCUUCCCGUAACCAAGAGACUCAAUCCUAAUAGUGUUUCCCAAGGUGAAUCAACCCACAAACCCUAGUGUUUGUUCCGAAGAGACAAACUCUAUACAAACCCUAGUUUUGUUGUUGCCUUUCUAAACCCUUGUUUCAGCCCCCUCUAUCUCUCUCAAAGUUUGCUUUGAUACAAAGUCUAUAUUUAUAGUGAAAGUAAUCCCUUAAAAAACUGAAACAAAUCUUCAAUAAAAAUACGUUUUAUUUUUAUCUUCAAUCGCACCAUCGUGGCACGAUUCGAUCCAAUCUUGGCACGAUUUUUUUAGUGAUUGUUCCAGAAUUUUGCUUCAACAAUCGUGGCACGAAGCUUCUCCAUCGUGGCACGAUUCUCCAGAAUUCUGAUUUUAAGUUAACUCUGACACACAUAAUAAUGGUUAAAUAAAGCAGACACAUUUCAACACUUAAGAAAUCAUCAUAUAGACCGGAAAAAACCAUAAUCCUAUCUAUUGAAAAUGAAAGAUUAGUGAGAUGAGUUGAAAAGGUAGAGAAAGAGCACAAUAUGAAGCUCACAGUUCCUCCUAUUGUUCUCUUCCCUUUCUCUAUUGUAAUUUGCUCAGAAAAUAGAAUAGCAGAUGAGAAGCAACUUUGACUAACCCUCUAGAAGGCUCUAGAUGGGAUGUGUUGUGCUCAAAAUCAAAGUUGCUAACGAACGUUAAUCUUAGAUGGCAUGGCAAACACACGGGUACAAGUAAACAAAUAUCACUUCAAAAAAAAAAAUUAUCAUCACUUUUUUUUAAAAAAAAUACCCGAGAAAAUUUACUAAAUUUUCAUAAAAAAUCAUUUUGUAAGAAAAAAAUCACUUGUUUAAAAUAAAUUAAAAAAAAUCUUGAACGAACAGACAAACAAAGGGGAAGCACUACAAAAAACAUUGCAGCUAGCAUUCCAAAAAAUUACGAUGUGAAGAAACUCACAUCAAAUAAAAGCAACAAAGGUAAAGAAGGAAAGCAUAAUUGGAAUAGUUUGUUAAUAAAAAAAAAAAGAUGGCAAAGUAAUAAAUGGAAAAGAGGAGACUCUGGAUAAGAGGAAAAAAUCAAUGAGAAAGCAAGUGGUGGUGUCUUGAGAGGAGCAAGUUUUUAUUUUGCCACUCUCUUGUCCUCUACCUUGUUUUUAUACUAGUAGAUAUCUAGGUUGAACGCCACUUUUUAAUGAAGAAAAUUCCAAAAUGAAAUGUGUAUCAUGUGUUUGGUAGAGGGAGAGUCUUGCUUCUUCACGUUAGUAAAGGACAGACAGAGUGGUUGAGAAACUAGAACAAAGGAAAUGAGUUUUUGAGAAAAACGGUUCAGAAGUAGAAUGUACAUACUCACAAACAAGCAUCCAAUGCCAUGACCGAUGUGCCUAUUGAAAUCCGUGAAAUUAGUCUCCGAACUAUAUGAAAUAUGUCUAUUACUCUCUAGUAACUCUUGUCAAUAUAUAACAACAAUGUACAUUUACUACAUUUUCCUUAUCAAGUAUUGAUAUAUUUACUUUGACUAUAAAUGUAAAGUGAAAUAUAUUGAGUUGGAAAUGGUACAUGAAUUAUCUAGGAGUGUCCACAAUCCAUUUACACGACCUAUUCAUAGCGCCAAUUAUAACAUAAACACUAACACUCCAAAUAAACAAUUCUCAUAGUAUUUGUUCCAUCCCCAACUCUUGCAAGUAAACUAGCAGAGUACUAAUUAAAAGGUAGAUUGCAAUUUUAUAUGAUUUAUAAUAAGAAUAGAAUUUCUCUAAUGUGCAUAAAUUAUACAUGUACAAGUAUGUUUCCCAUUAACGGAUCAAUAAGUCUCAUCGUAUCUUAUUUGAUCCAGUGAUUAGAAUUAUUGAUAUAAUGGUGGACAUAGAUUUGUGUCCGGUGCAAGAUUUAUCUCUCUUGUACACCAUUGAAUUCUCAGAGUUAAAUUAUUUCGCAAAAAGUAAAAUGCAUUUGCUAUCAUAGCUCUUAAGUACAAAAUUAUUUAAUUACAUUACCAUCCCCACUUAAAUUGAGUAUUCCAAAAACUUAUCUUUCCACAGAAGGAAAGAAAAACAAGAAAAGAGCACAAACUAAAAAUGGUACAAAGGACAAAAUAUUGUGUCUUCCUCAAGCUUUAUGAAAGAAUUUUCCCUACGAAAAUCAUAUGAUUGAAUUGGUAGAAACUUGGUGUCCACAUCAAUUUCCAUUGCUGCUCCUCUGAAGCAGAGGUAGUUGCUGGAGCUACAAGCCCAGCAAACUGUGUUGCAGUCGAUUUUGAUGUGCCGGCAAAUGGACCCCUUGUUUGAGCAGCAACACUAGAGUCUACUUCCAUAGAAGAAGCUCUAAGAGGUGAUGCUGGCUGCACCUCCACAUCUAAAUAAGCUGCCUUUAAACCUUUCCCGCACCCAUCAACCGACCUUACACACUCAACUGUGAAUGGGAGAUUGGGAGCCAACAAUUCCAGCUUUCUUGUUAUUGGACUUGUCCUCUCCAACAAAGGAUACAUCUGAAAGAUUUAACAAUCAUGAAUGUGGAGAGGAAAAGUGAAAAAAAUAACACACACGCACACACACACACACACCCAUAAAACAUGUGAAUGGCUUUUAGUAAAUUUGUUUUGUCUUGGCCAGGCUUAUUACAAUGUAACACAAUUUUUUUUCUUGGAUAAAGAUAAAACCGGAUUAUAUAGAGAAUAUGAUGUAAAACUUUGAAACCAGAAAAUUAUAGAUACAUUUUCAAUGACUACUGUUAACUAUGUUUUUCAAAGUUAGGCAAAGCAUUGAGGGGCAUAAUUAACUAUAAAGACCUUGGUGGAUAUACAAACCUCGUCUCGCUUGCCGCUUGUUUCCCGGACUUAAGCAACCAUAGCAUCAGGGUCAAUGUUUUUGUUUACUUCAAGACCACCUUUCAAUCCAAAAAGACAAUGUUCCUUGCAGUGAUUGAGCCAAUGGCCCGUACGUCCAUUUAUAAUUAUUCGGUGAAAUUAGUUUGUUUUCACCAAAAUGAUCUCCUCAACUUGUUUAUAUCCCCAAAGUUCUAAGCUGCAGAGAACAAUGGUGUACAUGCAAGCCAAAUACAAAUUAUUAGUAAAAAGAAGCCUCAAUAUUAUUUUGGUUAUGCUAACCAAAUAACUUUUUUUUUCUUCAAAUGAUAGGGAAAAUUAGCAUUAGACCAAAUAUAUGCAUAAAUACCUUUCUCGUUCAAGUUCCAUUGCACAUCCAUUGAUCCAUAGAAAAAUAAGCCAAUGUAUUUAUAGAGCCGGACAUUAAGAGCGCGCAUUUCAUCAUCAGUCAUUGUUCCAUAAGGCAACUCCAUGUGAAUGUCCCACAGUUGAUCCAUUGUGGUUCCCCAAGUUCAUCGGUGUUGGAGGCAUACUCAUAGUGAACGUACUUGCAUAACUAUAAAAGGACAAAAAAACAAAAAGAGAGAACAGCUCAAAUUUGUGACGAACAUAACCAAAUGGAUAAAAAAGUAAACGUAAGUAAAAUUCCCGAGGUAAAAACCAUACCAUCGUGUUGGCAAGUAUCAAGAAAAAAGCAGUCUCCUAAACUAAAGCCAGUAUGAAGAGAAAUGAUUCGUCUAAAAUGAACCUGCUGAGAAAAAGAUCACAAAUCCACAUUGGUCGUAACCCUCACAUGUGAGGGCCACCAUAUCAGACAUAACACCAUACCUUCAUGUGUCGGCCAGUAUCAUUAAAAGAGAAGUCUCCUAAAUUAAUGUCGGUAUAAAGAGAAACGAUUCAUCUAAAAUAAACCUGCCAAGAAAAGGAUAAAAAAAUGCAUAUCAGAAAAGGCUAAAUAAAAAUGAUCGUACCAAAUUUCAAAGUUUAGUUGGUUGAAAACCACAUGUCUUAGAAUGCCAGCUCAAACCAAUACAUAGUGAAUAAGUUAGAAAUGAAACUAGAUAAACUAAAUAACAAGCCAAUAAAAUAUUGUUUUGUCAUUAACCUUAUCACAUGCUACAAAGGAACCGGUCCGGCGUCGAUAAACUUCUUUCAUCAGUCAGUCACAGUGUUGCCUCACCUGAUGCAUUUGGCCCCUAUGGGAGUCUAUGCAUUGAUGGAAUACCUAUAUCACUAUGUGUAGCCACACAUUCCCAUUAAUCUUGGUGCUCUCCUUGGUCCACCACCAGAAAACAAUGGCUGAAACCCUCGUAUGUGAGGGUCACCAUGUGACAUCCACAUAUCAGACAUAAGUCUUAAAACUGGCCUACCCAUCGCAGCAGCCAUAACACCAUUCACAUUCGCACUACUGUUAGCAAUUUGUUGCUAAUUUUGAUUUGUAUUACCUUCUCAAGACUAGAUUCAUUUUGCCGCUGCUGUGCAGUUUCAGGCAAUUCUCCCAAGAGACGGGUCUUAUGUCACUUACAACAACUCUUCCAAUUCAACGGCACCAUCAUUAUCAGCCAUUGACCUCAAAGCUAUCUCAACCGCAAGUGUUGGCUCUCUUGAAUCUCCAGCAAGCUCUUGAAGUGCAGCUUUGUCUUGAAGAACCAUUUGAUUAUUCUCCAAAUUCCUCAACACAGUGGAAAAACUAAUUAGCGUAAAAGGUACCCGAUUAAAGACAAACACCAUCCAUUGAUCGAACAAUGGACAAAAGACUAACUUUCUUUGUUUCUGGAUAUGUAGUAACAGGAGAGGUUUUAGGGUAGUGGGGAUUGUUAUUAUCUUUCCGGGGUUUAUUUUCCUCCUCAUCCCCUGGAGAAUAAAAAAUAAAAAAAAUUCCAAGUGUUAAAAUAACAAAACUGUGAGAAAAUAAUUUAGUAAAAAAGAAUGUUUAUAAAAGAGGAUAAUAUUUCAAUAGCAUCAAACUCUUCAUCACUUGUGACUUAAACGACAAGUCUAACCUCGGAAGGCUUCACAUUACAAAUGUGAAGGACUCAUUGCUCAUCAGAACGUACAUGAUGUUCAUCUGAACGACAAAUUUCCUGUUGACAAAGUGAUAGAACUAGUUAAAAAUAAGCAUGUAAAUGACGUUCCUCAAUAUUUUAUUUUUAAAGCACUUAACAUGAAUGAUUUUUAGACACAUUUAGAUUGAAAUAAAAAUAAAUAAUUUUCUGUCUGAAUAUUUUUCUUUUAGCUAAUAAUGAAAAAGAAUAAAGAUAUUGUUAAUAAGAAAUCAGUUGCUAAAUUGAUGCAUACCUCAGAUAUAAAAAUACUCCUUAUUGAAUCGUUUAGGUUCCCAGCCAAAGGGUAAUACAACUCUCCUCUUUUGAUGUCCAAAAGAUUGGGAGUGCUCGGCAUUCCCUCAGAGAAAAUCUCGAGGAGAGGACAUUCAUUUACCUCUACUUCCACCAACAAUGGAAGGUAAAUGCGGGACUUACAGCUAGAAAACUUGUUAAGUUUUGGCAAACUUUCCAACACCAAUACCUCCAAAUUAAGUAAUCCAAAAUCAAGAUUCUCCUCUGCUGUAAUGAUUGCUUCAAGUGAGUUACAACCUUUCACCUUCAUCACUUCAAGCUUGCCAAGAAUUUCCCCCAUAGAAGAUGUAAUUAAACUUAUCAGUCCAUUGCAGUUGGUAAUCUCCAAAGAUAUUAAGCUAUUAAAAGAAGCACAUGAAGGAAUCAAGUUUGUAAGACUAGGACAAUAUUCUACUGCGAGGUGUCCAAUAAACUCAAGAAGUAGGUGGGGUCCUUCAUAUAUUUUAGGUAAAUGGGAAAGCUUCAAACUUUUUAGCCGAAUCUCCUCAUUUAAUAGUCUGUCAUCUAGGAAUAUUUUCUCAAAGGAACAUGAUUCAAGACUACAUGCACUUUGGAGAAGCUCACGAGGAAAUUCCUCCUCUUCAUUCUCAGACCUAUACAAGCCUAUAUGUUUCAUAUUGGUGACAAGAGAACCAAUGUUUUCGGUUUGUGAUAUCAUCAAGUUAGCAUCCUUUAUCAUUAUGUCUAACCUCUCCAGAUGCGGAAUCACCUAAAACAUACAUAAAGCACAAUUUAAAAAAACUGAGUAUUUAAUAUUAACUCAAUGAAUGUUAUUUUUUCAGUCAAAUAUGUUUGAAACUUCUUUUUUACCAUUACCUCCGCACUUUACUCAAUUUCUUUUAAAUCCAAAUAUCCAUUACAGUUAUAAUUAAAUGUUAGGUUUUAAAGAAACUUUUAAAAUAAGUUUCAAUUUGAUGAAGUUUUACAUGUGAAAAAUUUCGGAUACAUUGACUCAUUCAAUUUUCAAUGUGAAACUUUCUUCCAUUGCUCGCAGACUGUUUUAAAUCGUUCGAAAUUAAACAAUUGAAUACAACUAUAAUUGUUCGGUAUUUCAUUAUAAAAUACAAAGCCCUAAACAUGUGUUCUUUUCAAGAAAAUUGUUAUCAUAUGUUAAUAUUUAUGAUACAUACCUCUUCAACAACGAAAAGUGGUUCUUGAAGCAGCAUCAGAGACUCCUGAGUUUUAAAUACAGUCAACUUAGCACAGCCUAAAACAGUCAUCACUCUCAAAGAUGGACAUGCAAGGGUGUGAUUUCCUCCAUAAAAGCCUUUGAGCUGCGGUAAGGCCUUAAAAGAUAGAGUCUUCAAGGCAUUCAAUUCAAAUUGUGGAGGUAUAAAUACAGAAUCCUCAUUCUCUAUAACUGCAACAAUUUCCUUGCAAUCACUUAUACAAAGACUGUUGAGCUUGGAGCAGGAAGUGACUACAGAAAGAGGAAGUACAUGCUCUAAGCUUCCACACUGAUAUAUAUGUAGUCCUUCCAGAUCAUGAAAAUUCAGAACUCCUUUAGGAUCCAUACUCCAUAUCUUUUUUACAUUUGGUAAUGUUUUUAAAAAAACAUUUUUCAAAUGGGUUGAAUCCUCUAUACUGCUUUGGUCACUCGGAGUCAAUUUGAAUAUCUCUUUGAGUAAAGGACAAUCUGUUAUUUGUAACCACUCCAAAUUGCAAAUUGUUUUUUGUGUUGAAGAAGGAAAAACCACCACGAGGGAUUCACAAUUUUUGACCACCAAGCUCUCCACCUUGUCAAAUUGGAAGUGCCAUAUUGUCUUCAAGUUUUUCAUGUCCGUUAACAUAACAGACUUCAAUUCGGCAAAUCAAACCUAUAAUUCACAUUUUAUGAAAUCAUGAAUAUUAUAUCAAAUAUUUAUUUAAAAUACAAUCAAAACAUGAACUUCCAUAAAGUAAGAUCACCAUACCUCUUCCAAUGCAGUAACAUCACUGUUUGCCUUUUCUUUAGCUAUUAUCUCCUCCAUUGAACGACAGUUCUUAAUUUCCAGUUGUCUAAGGUUUUUAAAACUUCCAACCAUGGUAGACAAAAAUAAGUACUUAAUAUUUUCACAGUCCCGCACGAUCAAAGUUUUCAAGUUGAACAUAGUAAUAUGUUGAUUGUCAUCCCAAAAAUUUUCAACAUCUAGUUUGCUCAAUGUAAGGGAAUGCAAAUUAGGAAAUGCAACCUACAUAAAAACAUGUUAAUUAAAAUCAUGAUUAAAGGUUUAUUAUGACAAGCAUUAUAACUUUGGAGAUGCAUCACUCAUCCAAAAUCCAUACAUGCCUUCUGGGCAUUUUAUCACACUACUUAUAUAAAAAUUCACAAGGGGGAAAAAGUUUUUAUACUAGUAUAUGUAAAAAAAAAUAGUUACCAAAUUAUACUGUAUAUUGGUGUUUAAAUAAUUGAAUUUGUGAUCGAAGUUCUUGAAGUUCAAGACUUGAACCAAACCAGAUUUUUAGAAAAAAAUUCACUAACCAAACUGUUACACAGUACAGUUCGGUUCCGCGAACUGUUUCACUAAAUAAAGAGCCACAAAAUCAUUCACUCAAACUUGGCAAGAACAGAGGAACUCUAAAUCCCUAAUCCCGGAGAUUCAGUUUCUCACUGAGACAUACAAGGAUCCAAUCAGAAAAUUUAAAAGUAAUAAAACAUUGAUGAAUUUUUACAAUGACCCAUAUUUGAACCUUUGUGAAUGUAUGAAUACUUACUCUUUUACCUUAUUAUAUUAUAUAAUUGGACUCACUCCUCAGAGUCUAGGUCGGUGAACCUUCCGUCAAUUAUUUUUCAACUCUGAGUUCUAGUUUUAUUACUUUCAGUUUUUUAUUUUGCCAAACUGACCCACUCCUAUAAUCAUUUGUAACCUUCUAAGAUUAUAGCCGAUGAUCACAUAUAUAUAAAGUAGAUAAUUCUCAUCAUACAUUGCUGCUACAUUAAAUAUUGAAAUUAGUUGGUGUAUACUGCAUGUCAUUAAAUUAAAAUCCUAUCAUUUAUUUUAGUAUAAAGGUUAAAAUGAAAAUAAAAAACAAACCUGAGAGCUGUUAAACAGUGCAGAACUUAAAGGCUCCAACCCUUGAUACUCAGUUAUCUCAGAAGACCCCGAAUUAUAAUAGCAGAAAUUAUCAAGCUUAUGUAAAUGAUCCAAUUCCAAUGUCUUCAACGAAACAAACUCGAUAAUUUCAUUAUCUACACUUGCAUAAUUGUCAUUUAAGAAUACAAUGCCUUCCAGAGAACCGCAUCCAGAGACAUGGAUCUUCACAAGUUGUGAAAGCUCCUUGAUCAAUGAUGGAGAUAGAAGGUGUUUCAAUUUAAAACAAUUGAUGACCUCUAUAGUGGUGAGCUUUCGAAAAGAAUUAGGUGCAACGGGACCACGACAUAUCUCCUCCAACAUCGAUAGACCGAAAAUUUCCAACUUUUCCAAGUUGGGAAAGAAAAUCUGGCCCAAAUGUGUGUCAACUAUGCGUUUCAAUGAACUAUCAAACCUGAUGCGAAGAACUUCCAGCAAAGGAAAUCCGUCACUAUUGAGUUGAUUAACAUUCUCAAGGGCCAUUGAGGAGGAGUGAUUUAAAAAUAAAGCUUCAGCUCUUUUCAUUAGUUCCUCAAUGUGUGCAUUAGUACAACAGAUGUGCAAUGUAUUCAAGGUUUCAGAAUAAAAUUCCAUUAGAUGAUAGCAAAAAUGAAUUUUGAAUCUUUCCAAUUUCUUAAACAUCCAUUGCAAAUCUAGUGGAAAAUCAUCAGUACCAACCAUUAACUCAAGAGUUGUCAACUUUGACAAUUGCCUCAACUCAGCAAGGUUUGACAAUUGCCUCAAAUCAGGACUUUCCAUCUCAGAAGCUGUACCAUUGGAUUCCCAUAUAAUGAAGUUCCUGCACUUCAACUCCUCCAGUUCAGUCAAGCAUGAUAAAAUAUUGGGUGGGAUCUCUUGGAGUCCAGUUUGGUUACAAUCAAGUGUUUUAAGGUGAAUCAACUCCCCUAUUUGGCUUGGCAAUGAGAUAAGUGAAGAACCAAAGAAGUUAAGAAAUUGUAAAUUUGUCAAAGCUCCUAUUCCCUCCAUAUUUUCCAAAACACAUAAAAACAAUGACAAUGACCUAAGAUCUGAAAGGCAGCAAAGAGAAGAUGGUAAUUGGCACAAAUUGAAUUUGGUUAAAUGCAACACUUUCAGUUUUACCAUCCCCUCAAAGAAAUUAUCUGGAAUUUCUAAAAGAAACUUUGAAUUGCUGAGCACCAAAAGCUCUAGAUUGGGGCAGUCUAACCUCUGAGGAAGUAAGGUGAUGUCACAAUUCAAUAUAAUUUGCGAGCAGUUUCUGAAAGAAUCGUUUGUGCAGUUUCUCAUAGAAUCAUUUGAGAACGGCCGUUUCACAAAGACAUGUUUGUCUUUUGAUGCAAUGUUGAGAGCUACUUCCCUAACCAUAUUAUGCAUUUCAAUUAUCUCACAUUUACCAGAUUCUCUCAAUAGACAUGAUGUUUUCAAAUAACCAACCAAUACAUGUAGGCGGUGUCUUCCAUCUCUCACAGUUUCUAUUUUUUUCAACACGCCUAAGCCCAUUACCACUUCUAAAUAGGACUCCACUUUUUGAAAUCCCAAUACCGCGAUGAGUAAGAGGAGUGUCCUCGCUUCGUCGCACUCUAAUGAGUUGUAACUCAACUCCAAAGGAAUAUAAACUAAAGCACCAAUCUCCUCUGGACCAACAUCUUCUAGUUGUCGUACUGCAUUUUCCCAAUAGUUAAUAUCUUUGUUUACUAAUGCACGUGCGACCGUUGUAAUGGCUAGAGGCAAACCUGCACACUUCAAUGCUAAUUGAGGUGCUAAACUUUUUAUCCGGUGAUCUCUAACCACAUCUUCAACCAUAAAUUGAAACAAGUCAAUAGAUUCCGUGUCAUCAAGCGGUUCAAGUCUGAAAGUGAAAUUUUCCGGAGCGCCCAUUUUCAAUAAAUUCUCUUUACUUUUUGAACUCAUCAUCAAUUUGAAAUUGGUUGGUUUUUUAUUAUGGUUCCCCGUGUGACUGUCUGUCAUGCUAAAUGGAAUCCCCACUUUCUGCAAAUCAAGAGUACCACAGAUGUCGUCCAGAAUGAUGAGGAUAUUCUCCUUUCCUUUCAUCUUUUUCUUUAAGCGGAUUGCUCUAGCAUCAAUACUUUGCAUAUCAAACUUCAGACCUAAACCUUCGGCAAUCACCUCCUGAAUGUUUUCAAUAUUGGAAGUUUUAGCCAAAACCACCAAGUUAAAAAGCUUCAGCUGUUGUGCAAAUCGAUCGACUUCCUCCAGUAAAUAGGUCUUGCCAACACCACUCAACCCAUAAACCCCGAUGAUGUGUGAACUAGGGUCUUUUAGAGCUUCUAAGAUAUUAUUCAGAAAUGAGCGCCUUGAUGCCAACAAUACUUCCUUAGGUGAUGGUGAGGAAAAGGAUACAAUAUCCUCUUGAUGACGAGGAUUGUAACCGACACGGCAGUCAAACUUUCCACUUUGCAGCUUUUGGGUAACAUCUAAAGAGAUUUUGGUGGCUCUUCGACUUAAUUGUUGACGUUGGUAAAUCAAGUUAGGGAAGUCCCAACGAUAGCAACCGGCUUUGGAAUGGUUUGGAUCGUUGUGGAGCAUGUUAACUUUGUUAAUGACUUGAUUCACUUCUUUCAUCCAAUUUAAGACAUCAUUCUCAAUUUCUUCGCCAUUUGACUUAGCUUCUUCAAUGGAAUGAUUGACUCUUUGUCUUGCAGCCUCUAGAUCUUCUAAAUCUUUAGAUAGCUUCUUCAAAUUGCACUUGUAAAAAAAGCACAUAUCUUGCUUGUCUGAGAACAGGCUCAACAGUAAACUCAACUAAUUUGGAACCAACUGAAGUGAGAAUUUCCAUUAUACAGGCUUGAGUGAAGGUAGCUGAAAUUCAAAAGAAGAAAUAGAAUGUUAACACUUGGUUUAUCAUAUAAUAAAAUGAGUGAAUCAGUUUAAAAGUGAUUAUGAUUAUGAUUAAAAUCCAUCUAACAGGGUUAUAGGAACAGCUAAAUGGACAGUAGGUGAGUGGUAUGGGGAAUGAUUGAGGGUUCAGCAUUCUCUAUUAUGAGAGUUCAUGUCUAGCUAACUCUAAAGCCUCUCCAUGAGAAGCAUCCUCUUCAGAGACUAGAAGCUCAAAAGAAUUAUGUAGAGAUAAAGUGCUCUUCUAUAUCCAACACACAGUCGUAUUAUCAGUUUCUAAGGUAAAUGGUUGCACUUUGAGUGAUUAUGGCAGCAUUUUGCUCCAUUAGCUUUGAAUCUUUUCCUUUGUAGGAGGAGCCUCCAUAUGAGUGGAUUGUUUCUUAUUAAUCAUGAAAAAAUUUAUUUUUAAUUUAUUUUUAUCUUCAUGAUAAACAAGGUUUGUAAACAUUCUAGUUCUGAUUAUGAUUAAAAUGCAUCUAAAUUUGAAUAGUUGAACAAAAGAAGACUCAGAAUCAAAUAAAAGUUGGUAAAUUUUCAUAAAAAAGCCAUUUUUUUCUUGUUGACCUAAAAGAAAGAAAAAAAGAAACAAGUUUAAAUGAAUUUCUGAAAUCUAACAAGUUAACAAUAUGACUUUUCAGAAAAAUCAAAGUUGGUAAAUUUUCAUAAAAGUUACUAAAGACAAGUAUGAAUGAAUUUCUGAAAUCUGACAAUAACAAAAAAAGGAACACAAGUUAUAGGUUUACCUCAAAGCUCAAGCAAGUAGAUGAUGUAGAAACGCAGCAGUGUAGAAUGAAUGAAUGAGAAGAAGUUGAAGCUGUAAGUAACAAACACGAAAAUAUCUAUCAGCAAUGUUAUGUUAUGAGAAGUAGAAAUGGAUGAAAAAAUACAUCACUGUUGUGUUGAAUGAAGAUGAAAGUUGAGAGAUUGAAGUGUUUAUGAUUUGGAAAAUGGAAGUGUGAAAAUGAAUGGAAUAGUAAAGUUCAGUGAUUGAAGUACUUUUGUUUGAAAAUUGGAAGUGUGUUAAAGUUGAGAGUUUCUGUUUUUGAAAGUGUAAUGAAGAGAAGAUUCUAUGUUUGGCCCACUUAUUUUAAGUUUUUCUACUUAAAAAAGU
rnacentral:lncRNA from 1 species